rnacentral:lncRNA from 1 species
UUCCUUCUUUGUUUUAUUGAUUUAUUUACUAUUAUUUUAUUUUAAAUGCAUUAAAUAAUGUUAUAUCUUCAACUAAUUUGAUAUAUACACAUUUCUAAUCCAACAUGUUUGACAAUACACAGAUCAAAUAUCGCAUGUAUUUUCUCUAUAACGUCACUUUCUUUUUCAUUUCAAAAUUAAGUACUACUUAAAUAAACUUUUCGUUAAUUAACAAGUAACAUGUAGGUUUGACGCGAGAGACGAGAGGGAUUAUUUAAAGGAAUACAUCAUAUUUUAUAUAUCAAUCUUAACCUAACACGCCCAUCCUUUUAGACUUAAAUAAAGAAAUUUAACCCGACUUUAUCUCAAGUUUGUUUUCAAUUUAGUAAUUAAAUUAUUUAUUUAAUAAUUUUCGAUCGUCUUAUAUAAUAGCAAAUUGAAACAUUUUUUCAGUGAAGACAAAAGAACAUUCUAUGGGCAUAUAUAGUUAAAACCAAAGAACCAUGAUUAUAAUUUGUCAUUAAUUAAUGGCUCAAGGAACGUUAAGCCCUAUGUUUUUCUUGUGGAAUUAAACAUUGAUAUUCUUUGGAAGAAUCUAAUCCUUAAGAAAUGAGAGUAAAUAAUUAAUAUAAACAAUAUAUUAUACUUCCAUAAAACCCUAACUAUGUGUAUCUAUAUAUAAACAUACAAUAUUUAUUAAGACAACUUGUCACCAUCCUCAAGGCGACAUGGUAGCUAAGGAAAAAAAUUUGGGCACAUGAGUGAAGAAAAUUGUUUGAAAAUAUUAUAAUCUACUUAUGUAAUUAAUUGUGUAAAGUCAUAUAUCUAAUUAAGGAAGGUUUAGAAGAUUAAUGAAUUGAUUGGAUUGAUUUUUAAAUGUUUAAAAAUAAAAUUUCACCUAAAAACACUACUUUGUUUAAAUGUUAAAAUGUCAUUUCAAAGAAGCCUUAUGUCUUGUCAAAACCAGCACACUAAUUAAUUAAUAAAAAUAGUAUAGAGCCUUUGAGUAUAAAUUAAUUCAUAUGGCUUUAAUUUGUUGUUGUUAUGAUAAUAAUAAUUAUUAUAUUAUUAUUUUGAGGAAAUAGAAGGAAAAAUUGAUUGACUAGAAACUCUAUAAUUUUCUUGAGCAAUGUGUAAUUAGAGAUAUAUUGGUUAUUGUAAUACACCUGAUUUUUUUUAAGAAAUAAUUUUGAAUGCAAAUGUUUCCAGAAAUAAAAUACAAACUUGUUCUGUAAAUAAAAAAUAAAAAAUCUCAUUCAAAAAUUAAUUUGUUUUAUUUUGAAAUUAGUUUUCAUACCAUUUUAAUCUUUUAACUUUUAUGUUUGAUUUCAACUUUCUCAUAUAUAAAUUUCAAAAUUAUACAAAAUUAUGGUUUGAGUAUUAAUUUGAUCACUAUAUUUCAAAAUUUAUACUUUUAACUUUGAUGGUUUACUAAUUACUCAUUUUAUUUAUUUAUUGUUAACGUCUAUUAUUUAAUUUUAAUAUAGUUUUGUUAUUAUUUUUCAUCAUUGAAUUCAAGAUAAAACCCAACAUUUAAUUUCUUAAUUGUUUUAAAUUUGACGAAUAAACAACAAUUCCAAUAACUAAAUGGCUUUGAAGAAUAUUCUUCUUGAGAUUAUGAAAGUAUUUAAUAAUUUUUUUAACUAAGUUGUACUUUAUUAAUUAUAUAAUGGGUAAUAAUUAAAUAAUUAAAAGGAGGAAUGAAAAUGAGAUAAUAUAAUUCAUGGCUAUCAAAGGGCAACAUUAUUGUCAUCUCUUCCUCUCAUUGAUAGAGACUCACAUGUGAGUAUGUAUUAUUAUUCCCAAUUCCCAAAGCACUUAUUCCCUUCAAAAUCCAUUUGUGUGUGUGUGUGAAUUUAUUUUAUUACCACAUUUUCAUAAUUUUGGGUGUAUAUAUGAAAAUGAAAUCCACCUUUUUAAUUAAUUUGUUUUCUUUAAUUUUAAAUCACACAAAAAUGAAAAAAAAUAAAUGGGUACGAAGAAUAUAUAUUAGUGAAAUGAGAUUAGACAUAUCAAAAUCAUACAUAUUCAUGACAUCAUGUUUUUAUUAUUUGAAAUCUCGAAUUUAUUUAAUUGAUGAGAUAUUGAUGUAUCAUCUAUAACAUGUCCUUUAUGUGGAGCAUACUGUUGUAUAGACAAGUCAUCUAUAACGUCAAUUAUAUAAGAUAUUGGGUUCAUAGUAUCAUAUCAUAUUAUGAACUAAAUUAAAGAUAAAUAAUUACCCAUUCAGUGUAAUUUUUUUUCUCCUUUUUAAUUAACCAUCGUAAAACUAUGUUUACAUCACCAACAAGUAUGGCAAAUAUAUAUGUGGAUAUGGGUAGAGAGGUUGAGGUGAUAUAUGUGUAGAGAGUCAAAUCAAUCAUAUAUUGACCCUAUCACAUAGUAUAUAUUAAAAUGUACGAGACAAUUUUACGUGAGAUUCAACGCAAAACAAUUCAAGCAGGGGCUAUUUUUAAAUAUUUUUAUCAAACUAUAGAGAUUAAAUUAUGAUUAUAUAAAUUACAAGACCUUCUAAUUUGAAAUAUAACUAAAAACUAAUAAUUUUUUUUUUUUUGUUAAUUUUGUAAAUAAUUUCAAUAUUUUGUUAUUGUUUAGUGACAUAUUAAAAAAACAAAAACUAAAUUGUUACUCCUAUGCAAGGUCUAUUUGUUCAAAAAAUAAAAUAUCGAAACACUUUUUUUCUUAAAGAAAUAAUAUGUGAAGAGUUGAAGGAUCAAAUCUCUUACGUUAAAAGUUAAUAUUAUAAUUUUGUACUCGUUGAUUCACCCUGAUCAUGUUGAUCAUCAUAAUUAAUUAACUAUUAAAUACAUUUUUUUAGAGAGGAAGAUAUCGAAAAAUUCUUUCAAGAAUUUUUUUUCCCCCCAAGAAGUUAUGCAUUAGGACAUAGACAUAUAUAAAGAAUGAUAAUAGUAAUAUUAAAAAAAAUAUCACCAAAUAAUCUCAUAAGACACACUGUGGAUUCCAAAGCAAAUAUAUAUAUAUAUAUAUAUAUAUUUGGAAUUUUGGUUUUGUUAUUAUUUUGAGAUUCUCAAAACAUUACUUAGAAAAUACCAUACAUUUGGAUGCGUUUUACUUAAUUACUCCUGUGUGUAUAUAUAUUUUCAUACAUUUUCUAAUUCUCUAGUUAAUUAAUUAGUUUGAGACAUAUAUAUCUAAGUAGCUGGAGAUGCAAAUUUCUUUACGCUCUACAUGGAUCAAACUAAAAAUUAAACUAUCAUCAUCAUCUUCAACAUCUCAUACUUAAUUUUCUAAAAAACUAAUUAGUCGAUAAAAUAGUAAUUAAAAUGAAACUACACCACAUAUCCUAAAAUAUGAUAUACUUUCUAAUGUUAUCAUGGGACAGCCACAUUGUUCAAUCAAUCAUACUCGAUAAAUUUUACGUUCGGAGACGAGAGAGAGAGAGAUAGAAGGAGAGAUGGGGGGAAUCUGUUAAUCUCUCUCAUCCAUGCAACAUGUACAUUGGAGUGUGUCCUUAUCUGGUCGGACAUAUAUAUCUUUAGGGCUCAUUCUCUUCCCCACCUGUGUGUCUUUAAAUUAGGGUUUCUUUUUCUUAUUAUUAUAUAUGAGAGAGAGAGAGAGAGAGAGAGAGACAUAGGGUUUUGUGUAUAUUUCUUAUAACUGCAUGUGUUAGAGAGAGAGAGAGCAUUGGAUACCAAAAUAGGGAUGGGAAAAAGCAUAUGUGAUGUGAAUGAAAAUCCAAGAGAAAACAGACAAAAGUGGUUCAUAUCUCUCCUUGUGUAUUUAUAUAUAUAUAUAUGUAGUUUUCUUUACUCUUUUUUUAUUCCACAAAAUCAAAAUUAAAUUGUCUGCCUAAUUAGGCAUCAAUUAAUUAUUAAUAAUAACAAUAAUGGUGUCUCUACAUUUUGGAUUAUGAUUCUUUAUUAUUCUUUUUUUAAUUCAACAAAUGUAGGGGGAAAUUGUAAAUUUAUGAGAAUAAAAUUAGGAUAAUAUUUUAAUUGUUUAGUUAUGUUCAUGCAUGCUUAUGAAUAUAAUUACUUUUUUUUAGUUCAUCCCUGUUAAAAUUAUUUUAAGAAUUUUGUUUGCUCCAAUUCGAAUGUAAUAUAGAAGAUAAAAUAUCAACUAAACUUGAAGAUUUAUAGUUUUUUUAUUUAUUAAUAACAAUGUAUUGUUAAUAGUGUUAAUUAAUAAUAUAAACUGAAAUUAACUAUAUAUAUAUAAAAAUCAUGACUCCUUAAAUCAUGGGUUCAUUUUCUUUAGUCUCCUUUAAACAACUAAUUAAAACAAAAUAGAGCCCACUUAAUUUUCAUAAAUACAUUUAUUAUUUUAUUUUUAAAACAGCAAGUUUUUUUAGUGAUCAAAAUCCUCUAUAUUGUAAACUUUUAGGAAAUUAAAAAAAAGUUUUGCAAUGAAAUUAUCUAAAAUAACACGUUAAUACAUUAACAAUUGGGUUAAUUAUAACCGAUCAAGAUCCACCAAAAUCGAUCUAUCAUUAUCAACAUCAAUCGAUUUUUAUUAGAGAAACGAAUACUCAAUCACACGACAAAUAAAUCUUCUCAAAUCAAUUUAAGUGAUUCAAACUCCAUCAAAUUCACCAACAUACACACAUGAAUCACAUCCCUACGUACUCAUGAUUCACAUCAAAGAAAUCUUCUUCUUCUUACUCCUCUUCUUCUUCUUUUUCUUUUUGAACAAAAAAGAGUUGUGAUUACAAAAUAGAUAGAGACAAGUAAAGGUAUCACGGACGGAUGUGUGAAUUACAAAGCAAAAGCAUAUGGGGAAAUGUAAAACUAUAUAUCAUAUUAUAUUAUAUGAUAUGAUAUAAUAUAAAUCUAUUCUCUUUCAUCUGUCUCAAUGUCUCUGACCCUCUGAUUUGUUGUACUAACAUUACAAUUGCCCAAAAUUACCCUUUAAUAAUAAUUAUUACUUAAUCAUUCUUUUCCAGAUUCACCCUCAUAAAGUUAACUUACUUUUUUCUUUUCUACCAAAAAGAAAAAAGAAAGGUCACAAGUCACAACUCACACACCCUUUAUUCUUUCUCUUUGUUUUCAUUACUUCUAGGUAGAUUAGGUACUUUGUUUUGCUAUACAUUACAAUCCCCCCUUUUUCCACAACCUUUUUCUUUCACCUUUCCUUCCUUUUCCAUUUGGUUAAUAGAUAUGUUCAUUUCUCAGGUGUUCAAAAUUUUCGUCUAAGUAGUGAAUGAAAGAGGAAGAGGAAGAGUUUCUUGAUUUUUACACGUAAAAGCUAAAAUUUAUUGUUUCUACCCGUUUGUGUUUCUUUGAUUUAUCUCGGAAAGUUUAGAUUACCUAUAUAAUUAAUAAAACUUUUGCUAAAAGAUUAAAAAAAACCCUAUAAUUGAAGGAUAAUUCUUCAUGGAAACCAUAAUUUUCAUUUAAAGAAUUAUUCUUACUUAGGUCCCUACAAAAUUAAAUGAAAAAUCUUGCAAGAUAAAGAAUGAAACGAGGAGCGAAGAUGGAAUGGCGAAACCAUUCUCGACAUUGUCCCACCACCUCGUGGAUAUCUCUAUCAUUUAUAAACACAUAUAGGUCCACUAUUUUUCAUCUUUUUUCCUUUUGUUUAUAUAUAUAUUUAUGAUGGGAAUUGCUUUGAUUGGGUCGUUGGUGCUAGUGUUUUAAUAACGGUGUUCGUGUGUUUAAAUUAAUUAGUUUGAAAGAUGGUUUUUGAAGUUUGGAAAAAGUGAUUGAUUGAUAUCAAAUUUUCUUGAAAAUGAAACAACAGUUAUUAUUGGGUUUUGACUUAUGCCUAUAGAAACUUAAUUACCAAUUGAAGUUUUAGGUAAAGCUGUUGUUUGCUUAAUAGUCUUUUGUGAAAGGAAAGAAUAAUAAUGGUCUUCUUUUUUUCUAAAAGUAUUCUAUUAGAUAAAGACAAUCACAUGGUAGUUAUUGGACGUGUGAUAUGAAAAACAUUUUUGUUGUUGACCACAAGUUUAAACCUAUAGGUAUAUUUUGGGAGGAGGUUUUUGACUUAUGAACUUGGACUAUUGUGUAAACUAUAACAAAUUAUGAGUUCAACAUCAUUCAUUAUAAGAAAGAUAAAAUUUUCCAAUGCAAAGAAACAAUUGUCGGGAGAAUAGUAUCAUGGAUUGAUUUAUCGUUAAAACACAUAUUACCUCAUUGAAUCCAUAUAUACCUUUUUAGUUUCAAUUCCCCUGUACUCAUUAACACAAUGAGAGAGUCAAACAUCAACAUAUAUUUAUUUCAUAUAGUUCACAAGACAAAAGUUGGUACAAACAGAGAGAGUUUGGCGUAGUUAGUAAGUUUACAUCUAUCUAUCUAUAUAUAUAUAAUUAAUUAAUAUUAUAGCUUUGAAUGUAACUCAUCACAAAUGGGUCCCUCCCUUUUUUGUAUUGAAAAGUUUGAAUGUACUAUUGAAGUUUGAACCUAAAAAAAGUUGAAAAGAAAUGAAGAAAUAAAUUAAACUCUAUACAUUGUGGUUACAAAAGCAUAUGUAUAGAAAGAGAGAGAGACAAACAGAAGAGAGUUGGUUGUCCAUUCCAACAUAUGGCUUCCAAAAUUAAUGAGAUAAAAAGAAUAAUACAAUUUAAUAUUAUUCCUAGUAUUUUAAACGAAUCAUUUUUAAAGAUAGCGAUGAAUUUGGCAAAGUUUCAUAUCUAACUUAUUACCGUAUAUAAUUGAUAAAAUCUAAAAUUUUGCUAUAUUUUGUACAUAUUUUGGUUCAUUUUAAUCAUUGUAGUUCUAAAAUAUUCAUUUUGACCUCUAUAUAUACUUUUAUUUUUCAUUUUAGUUUGAACUUUCAAAAAGUGAUAUUUUUUAUCUCUUAAAAUCGAAGCAAAAUGAACAUUUGAAAGUAUAAAAACUAAAAUGGACCAAAACUAUAAUCUCGAUGCUUAGUACAUACACGAGGAAUGUGAGUUGAGUUAAGUCGAUGGUUGGACUAAAAUAGUGUUAAAGAAAAAUAAAUAUAUUUGAAAACAGGAGAGAGAGGGAGGGAGGGAGGGGGAAAGAGAUAUAUUCUUUUUCCAUAGAGAAAAACACGUUGGUUUUUGGUGUUUUCUUAAAAAGCAAACAAAAGAGGGAAAAACCACACUUCAGAUCUCAAUUACAAGAAAAACACACACUCUCUUCUCUCUUUUUUUCUUCUUUUCUCUUCUCUUCUCUUCUCUUCUCAUCAUCACAGAUAUAAAUUUUCCUUUUUUUUUUUUAAUUUUCUGUUUGAAGGUCUUUUGUUCAGAUUCGAAGUCUUCAAAACUUCUUUGGUUUUUACUGUCUUUUGGCAUAACCCUAACAUUUAGUCUUCUUCCAGCUGAUAUCUUUUUUCCUUUGUCAACAGAAGAUCAUCAUCAUCAUCAUCAUCAUCAUUUUAAACACAAACCAAAAAAAACCCUUAAGUUUUUUAGCUGUUUGUCUGCAAAUUAACAAAAAUUUAAAAAUCCCUUGGUCUUUUCUUGUUUGUUCUUGUCUAAACCGUUCUUCAAUCCUUUCCCAAAUAAGAAUCCAAAAAACAAAACAAAAUUAUGUCAACUAAUCCUUUUUCUCUUCUCUCUUCUACUACCACUUCCUUCCCUCACCCACAAGAUGCCAACCCUAACCCUAACCCUAAACCGAAACCCUCCGCUGCUGCUGCCAAGAAGAAGAGAAACCUCCCCGGAACCCCAGGUGAGCAGCUUAUUCGUUCUUGUUUUCCUUUUUUAAUAUUUAUAUUAGGUUUUUUUUUUUCGAUGUGGAGCUUCAAUAAUCUGUGUGUUGUUGUUGUAGAUCCUGAUGCGGAGGUUAUCGCUUUGUCGCCGAAGUCGCUCAUGGCGACGAAUAGAUUCAUAUGUGAAAUUUGUAACAAGGGGUUUCAGAGAGACCAGAAUCUGCAGCUUCAUCGACGAGGGCAUAACUUACCGUGGAAGUUGCGACAACGGACGAACAAGGAACCGAUUAAGAAGAAGGUGUAUAUUUGUCCAGAAAAGACAUGUGUCCACCAUGAUCCGUCGCGAGCUCUCGGAGACCUCACCGGAAUAAAGAAGCAUUUCAGCCGGAAGCACGGCGAGAAGAAGUGGAAAUGUGACAAGUGUUCUAAGAAAUAUGCAGUUCAAUCUGAUUGGAAAGCUCACUCCAAAACUUGUGGGACUAGAGAAUAUAAGUGCGAUUGUGGAACUCUUUUUUCCAGGUAAAUUUUCCCUCAUCUUUAAUAUUCCAACCAAAUUCAAGAAAUAAUGGGUUAGAAAUAGAAUCCAUUUUUUUCUCACCAUCGGAAAGAUUUGAAGAAACGACUAUGUUUGAUACAAAGCAGUUUGAAACUGUAGUAUCACAGAUCAGUCAGAAUUCGAUAUCCAAACACGUUUUUCGAAUCAAUGGGUAAUUUUUGAAUGAAGAAAAAGGCAAAAACUUAACUUUUUCACUUUUCUUUUCACUCUUAUUGUUAAAGACAGAAGUAAUUAAUGCAAGAUUAUGUCUCUGACCUAGAAAUUGAAUUAAUGACAAAUGAUUGGACAUUAAAAUUAAAAUGUUUUGAUUCUUGUUUUUUGUUUGCAGGAAAGAUAGCUUCAUAACUCAUAGAGCAUUUUGUGAUGCUUUAGCUGAAGAAAGUGCAAGAAUCACAACAGUUUCAGCUACAAAUAUUCUCAAUAAUCUAAGAAAUGAUUCAAAUAAUAUCAAUCUUCUUCAUCAACAAGCUGAUCAUCAUCAAUCUUUGAUUGAUCAUCAUCAAUCUCUUGGAGAUAUUUCUGGACUUUCCCAAUUCACUAAUCAUUCAGAUCAUUUCUUGAGAGAUUUUGAAGAUCAUCAACAAAAGAACAGAUCUCCAUUAUCACUUUGGUUGAACCAAGCUUCUGCUGAAAAUGCAAUCAACAGCAACAACAGUAUUUCCAACUUUUUUGGAGCUUCUUCUUCUUCUUCCAAUCUUUUCGGAUCGAUAACCGAAAACGGGCUUUCGAUGUUGCCAGUGAUGGAGAAAGAAGAUGUUGAGAAUAAGGGAAGUAAUAAUAAUUUUUCUAAAGCUACAUCAUCGUCGGCAGCAGCGCUGUUGUCGGGUCAGUCUUCUCAGUCUGUUGUUUCUUCUUCUCCGAUGUCGGCCACUGCCCUUCUGCAAAAAGCUGCUCUUAUGGGCUCAACUAGAAGCGGCAAUAAUAAUAAUACCCCGCUCUUUGGUUCGGGUGCUUUCGGAGUCAUGAGUUCUUCGUCGUCGUUGUCCUCAUCGUCGUCUUCCAAUGCAGUAAGCAGCUUGAACUCUCUUAAUAAAUCUAGAAGCUUGACAAUGGUUGACUCGGUUCAGAUGAUCGGUAGCAACUCCGACUUAAGCUCGAAUUGUCUCAGCCAACUUCUAAUUCCACCAAACGGUAAAUUUCAUCUUUUAUCCAUAUCCUUAAUCCCAUUUUAGCUAAUAUACUUCGAAAAUUACCGCUAAAUUAGAUUCAACAAAUGACGACUAUCAAUAUUAACUGAGAAAGAAAUACUGAAUUAUGUUCAAAUCAAUCAUAUAUAUAUAUAUAUAUAUGAAAUUUUAAAAUCUUCGACUAAGUUCAAUGUGACUUAUAACAUUUCUCUAAACUUACGUUGACCUUAGAGCUUAAGAUAAAUUUAAUCAUUUAUUCAUAUUCGUAACGCAGGUAACAACGCUAUGAGAAGUAGUGGACAAACGAGGGACUUCCUCGGAGUCGGAGGAGGAGAAGCACCCCGACCGCCAUUCCUUCCACCAGAGCUAGCAAAAUUCACCACCAUAAACUCAACAAUGGGACUAAGCCAAUUUGCCGCCAACCACUAAAAUCUCAUCAUCAAAAACCAUCAAACUUAAUCAAAAAUAUCGGAAAAGGUCAGUAAAAAAAGAAAAUAACCACUGUCAUAUUUUAAACCAAAUUACAUUUUUUUUAAAAAAAGGAAAAAACAUAAUGAUGCGGAAGCUAAGCCAAAUUUCUUUUUUACAGUGCAGGGCGGCGGAAACGGUCAGAAGGGGCCGACGGCGGGGCCACCGGUGAAUGUUUAAAGUUUGGCAGUUCCAGAAAGCAGUAAAAAGAAGCCAUGCAAUGCAAUGUAAACUUUUUUUUUUCUUUCUUUUUUGUUAUUUUCUAUGUUGUCGUUUGAACUUUUUAAUUUUUCUCCCCAUUUCUUUUCGUAAUUUCGCUUUCAAAUUAUUGCAUUUGCCAGAGAAAAGAAACUACUUCUAUAGUUCUACAUAUAUAUAUAUAUAUAUAAACUUAUAUACAUGACUACUGGUCAAACUAAUCUGGCCGGCAGCCACCACCAGGUCAACGUCGGUACCCUUCAAAUAAUAAUAGUACUUCAACUUGUUUCUAAUUAAAAUUAGUUAAUGAUAAAAAUAGUUUUGAUGCAACUACAAAAAGGACUGAAAAUAUUAAAAUACUAAAAAAUACUACAUAAUUUCUAAGUUUAUCAAUAAAAGAUAUUAGUAAACUUAUUUAUAUGUUUUAGAUUUGAAUUAUAUAUCUAAACUUUCUAGUAAAAAAUAGUGUUGUAUAUAUGUUAUAAAAAUAUGCUUUGUUGUGGGAAUUUGUUCGUUGUCAUUUAUUUAUUUUAGUUAAUUUUAUAAUCAAUGGGAUAAAAUUAUAUAUGUGGAUUAUAUAUAAUCUUGUAUAACACAAUUGACUAAGAUGUUUUUUUAGCACAAUAGAUAUCUACACAGUUAAAUAAGACUUAUACUAAUUAGGUUAAAUUCCAACCUUCCAUUUGAUCACUUGGUUGGAACUCAAAGAAAAAAAAAUGAAGUCUCAUAACAACUAUAUUAUAAAAUUAGAUUAAAAUACCAUUUUGGUGUCUCUAUUUUCAAAUUUGUUCAUUUUUAGUAUUUUCACUUAGAGUAAAUCUUAAAUUUAUUCCCUUAAACUUAAUUUUAAUUGAAAUUGAUUAAAUACUCAUAAUAAUGUUUAUAAAAAUAACACAAUAUGUGAAUAUAUUUUAAAAUUUUAUAGUGAAAAUGCUAAUAAAAACUUGAAAAAUAUACAAUAAACCUGAGUUAUAGUAAUAAGAACUAAUUAAAUUGGGCAUUUAAGAGUACAUAAACUGAAGUUAAACAUAAAAAAUGAUAUUUUAACCUAAAAGAUAAUUGCAAGCACAACUUGAAAAUUAAACCAGAGUUCAUUAUAUAUAUAUAUAUAUUCUUAGAUUAGAUAUAGUUGAAGAGUUUUAGGGAUAUGGUUUAAGUUUCCAAUGAUGUUUAUAAAUUGAGAAUCUCAAGACCCUAAUUCAAGAGAGAAAUAUGAGUUUAAAAUGUGAAUAUUGGAACUAAUAUUAAGAUGAACAAGAAUGAAUGUAAUAGGGUACUAGGUAUGAUUGUAGGGCACUUUUGUUCCUAGGGAAACCACUUGCUUUGGGCACUCACCCCUAACACAUUUGACUUUGCCCUAACUUCCUUUUCUUUUUUCCCUUACUUUUCAAGUAAAUUAAAACCCUAUGAAAAAUGGUCAAUGGUCUAUAGGACAUCUCCCUAAAUUCGAAAGUUUUUUUUUCUUUUUGGAGAAGUUCAACUUUUUGAAGUCCUAAAACAAAAGGACUUUCAAAAGGAAAGAUCUAUCAAAAUGCACAAAAAGCGAAAAGGUGGAAAAAGUUUUGAUUGAUUUAUAUUGAAAUUAUAGUGCAAUGAUGUCUACCUUUUUGUGUUAAAUUACAAAAAGAAAAGAGAACAAAGUUUACUUUUAUGUUUAUAAAUAUGUUAUUCAUAAAAGUAAUGCAGUGAAGAUCAACAUCUGAUCAAAUACAAUUAUAAAAUAGUAAUAAUAACAAUUUUGAAAAAUAUUAUUCAUAUCAUUCAUCAAGAUGGAUUCUUUUCAUACAGAAAUGUUUCGGGACAUAAAAUAUGUGAUAUUCAAUACAAUAUUAAAUCGGUUUUAAUUUUAUAUUUGUAUUUAUUAUGGCUAAGGCAACAAAAAUAAUAACCAAAGUGAAAAUAAUUCAAAACUGAUGUUUAUCAAAUAUGCUAAUGAUAUUAUUACAUAUAUAUGUUAAAAAACUUUUAUUUCAAAUGAUUUACUCUAUGUACUUUAUAACUUGUAUUGAAUAUAAGCUCAAUCGUGCAAUCCAUGAUUAAUAUUUAAUGAAAUUGGAGGUAAAACUUGUUUAUAAACGAUAAAGAUCUACUAAAUUAUUACAUAAUAAAAUUUGACACGAGAUGGGACCAAGUUGUCAUAAGUUUGAAAUAUAGAAUACAUGUGGCUAAAUUGUUAUUUCUGUACAAACAUAUAAAUUUCUUCAUUUUGUAUGUAUAAGUAGAAUAGUGGCAUUGUCUAAUAUAGCUUUAAAAGACCCAAAUAGGUUUCCAAAAUAAACUAUAUAUAAGAAUGUAUGAUAAAUUUAUAUAAUAUAUAUAAAUUUCCCAUCGAAAAAUUAUUUACAUAAAUCAGCUAUAUAGCAUCAAGGGGAUGAAAUACACAAAAGUUGGUAAAGCAUAUAUACAAGACUUGAACUCCAUGUCAACGGCUGGGGCAAGGCUUCUGAAGUUCCCAUUUGGAUAUCUUGACCAGGAGGAUCGAUUUGGCUCGGGCGCAAGGUAUCGGGUGCUGUUUCAGACUGCAGUGGGACCUUGAGUUGCCGUUGAAGACCAAGUGGAGGAUCUGCUUGCAUUGGAGGCAUGGUCUGUUGUCAAUGAUCCAUCUGUGGUUUGAUGAGUUGAUUGAUCGAGCCAUGGUCUCGUUCGUCGAAGAAUUUUUUCAAGAAUGGAACUAAGAGCCAUUGUAACUCCAAAGCCCGAAAAUGUGGCAAGAAGAACAGCUACAAUAGCCUGCAUGUGAAGCUGUAGAUCCAAACAAACGUGAUUUACUUGAUUGCUUAAAUAGUGUAUCUCUUCUUCACAUUGCUUCAACAUUGCUACAGUUUUGGACGUAAAUUCUUACCUUUGAGUAGAAAACAUGAGAAAAGGCGAUCACCAAAGAUAACUGGACUGCUGCAUAAAUCCAUAUAUACUCCUUCAAUACUGACAACAAAAUUGAAUAGUAUUAAUGAGGAUUGAUUAUCAGAGAAAAAGCAUCAGAAAGUACUUUCCGUAUAACAUAUUGAAUAAACAAGUUGAGUCUUACCCAUUGUUGCUGCAGUCAUGGAUGCAAGAAGACCAAAUAUGCAAGAAAAUGGAAGAGAAAUAGCUAGAGCACUCGAUCCCAUUUUACCAGCCUGCAUAGGUACUGGUAUUAGCAAUCCGAGCACCCUCGAAAAGAGAAAGACGACCAUUCAUUAAUCCCCACCCAUCUAUUCAUGUUACAUUUUUAACGUCAUCGUCGAUAAAAAAAAAUUAACAUAACUAGGUAGAUAACUAAGAAGAAGACUAGAAUACCAGAAGUUGCUCUAGGAAGCCAAAGUAAGCUAGCAUGUUGACGAUAACGAGAAAAGGAACAUCCUGCCAAACCCUGUAGAAUUUUCACAUAAAAGUUCAGUUUUCAACAUAAACACGGAAACAGAAUUCGUCUUUCUGCGAUCAGGCAAAUAGCAAAAUCAGGUAUAUUUGUAUGUAUAAUGUUAAAGAGAACGGAUACCCUUUUUCUGGAUGCCUUCACAUUCCAGUGGAGAAAUGGUUUACUUGCCUGUAUCUAGUAAUGGCAACCGGAUUGGCUUCACUUCCUUGGAAGUUGUAGAUUUGAACGGCAUGCACAGGUAACAGCUCAAUCGAAAGAUUCUGAACCUCUUGCCUGCACACAUCACAUAUUCUGUUACCUUUAGUGCUAAACCAUUUGGUAGCGCAUUCUUGGUGAGCCAGAGCAAGUUCACCCUUGCAGUUACAUUCCAUCUUGAAAGUCUCCGGACUGUUCCCGAACUCAAUCAAGCAUAUUCGACAAACAGCCUCUUCUGAAAUAUGCUCACCAGUGUCUAUAUUUUCAUCUGAAUCAUGAAAAUAAAGCAUGUAUUGAUAAAUUAAGUUCAAAGAAAACAGAGGAAUAUCUAAUUUCUAAACAUGCUUCCCCCCAAUUAAAAUUCCCAACUGAACAGAGUUAUUGGAACAAUUACACAGUAACCAAGAGUGAAGAAAACAUGAUUUCCAUGGCACUUAAAGAAUGGAGAAUGAAUCUUGUUGAUGCGAAAAAACCAAACACAAACCAUCUAAGAAAUUUACCAUUAUGAUAUGUUGGUGAUUUAAAUGGGGUCAAAUGAAUCUCUUUGCCAAUUUGUGGAGAGAUUGGAAUCAGACGAACAAUAUUACCACGUAACAAUACACUUCCAUCUUUUCUGAUCAAAGGUACUGAAUGGGAUCGAUGCAUUGACCUUUGAGCCAAUUCUCUCUGUAAUGUGAGGAAUUCUGUAAGAACCAAAUAGAAAAACAGUUGGAAGAAAAAAAAAAACGUUGAGCAAAAGGAGGUAAACCAUCAAAUUGCAAUGAUCUUAAGAGAGUAGCUUCAGAAUGCAUUGCAAAUAAAAGGUUACAUUGAUGUCAACUCAACCAGAAAAACUAAGUCCUGUCCGGAAAAUGUCAAUGGUAACGAUCGGAAGACAAAAAGAAUACAAAACUUUAAUUCAAAACAUGAAACCCUGCCUUCACUAUCUUCUGACACAUGAGAGCUUUUCUCUAAAGUCGCUGCAAAGUGUAAGCAUUAAGGCAGAAACAAAUGGACAAGCAAAGAAUAAAGACCAAAAAAAGGACCACACAGAUUUACGUGGUUCAGUAACAGUGUGUAGCUAUGUACAUCAGAAGAGGGAGAGACCAGAUUUAUUAUUAGAGGUCAAAAUACAGAUACAGAAGUGUCAACGCGAAUACAUGGUUUAUAAAUGAUAGCCCUAUAUACCCUGAGCCAAGAAAGACUUUGUGCUUGGUCAUUCGUAGGACUAGAUAAUAGAUUAUUCAAAACAUCCCAUCAAUAAGAUUGAAUGCGGGUGAAAAUAGUGCUAUAAAAGAUAACCAUAUCUAUAAUACACGAUGUUGCCGCAGUAUCCAGUAGUCAAUAAACAGUACUAAAUCUUAAAAGUGAUGGCGUACAUACAAUUGGGAUGGGAGGUUCACUUAUGGCCCCUUCAUAUGAGGAUCCUGGAUCUGCUGCUCUUUUCAAUUUUGGGUUGAAAAUUUUUGUAAGCGAUGAUGACCUCGAUAUUCUCGGUCUCUGCGAUGCAACUACAUGAGAAACUUCGCAGGGUAUGGUUGGAGACAUUUCAACAUCUGGCCUUAAAUUUGCAUGUUGGGAAUUCAUGUUUGUUCCUUCUGCAUUUGAUUUGCUUUCAGACGGUGAAGUGCCUGGGGACACUGCAGCAAUAGAAAAAGUUGGGGAAGAUAGAGGGGAGAAAGCCAGUCUUUUUGAAGAACGGGUUGGAAUCUGGGGAAAUUUUGAUAUCUCAGAAUAUUCCUCAGAGUUCAUAUCUGCAAGUGGCGGAGCUUCCAUAGGAUGAUUAUCAAAUUUCUGGUGCAAAUUAGGGCACUUGUCUUCAGUUGAAUCUCCUCCAGCCUUCAGUUUGAAGCAGAAAAUCAGAAUGAAACUAUUUUGACUUUGAGAAAUAUACACAUAACUCAGAAUUUUAUGAGCCUGAACUCAAAGAAGAAUCAAAGUAACUAAUUCUCUCAUUCAAAAAGAGCACAAGAUAACCAGGCACCAUCAAUUUCAUUGGUUUGAUUCAACUUUUUAAGUAUGAACCUACAAUCACCGAUUGCUGUUUCCAUGAAUUUCUUUACGAUAACUCUAAACAAAAUUCCAAAACUUACCAAAUGUAACUAAAACUAACUGUAAUCAGCAUUCAAUCCUACCAAACACUCAACAAAAGUGAACUCCUAAGAAAACCCGGAUAAAUUUUGUAAAUACCUUGAGAUUUGGUCCACCAAACCUGUUCUUCAAAGGGUCUCCACCAUCAUCUUCAGCUAGAUUUUGCUUCCCAGUAGCCAUUUUGCAUUGAAGAACUUACCUCACGCCAAUGGCAGCAACUAGACCAGGAUUGCUGAAAACAAAAAAGUGAUGGGGUUUCAAGUUUUCUUUGAAACCCUUCAAUCUGAUAAAACAAUAACCCGAAAACAUGGAAAAGACAGAGAGAAAGAGAAUCAAAAUAGGGGUUUUGGUCUAUUCCAUUGACAUUCAUAUGAAUGUUUGCGAAAGCUGGUUUUUUGAGCUAUUACAGGUAUUUGAUAUGGUUACAUUAUCCAUUUUCCAUUCUUGACGCGGAAAAUUAAGCUAAUUCAAAAAAAAAAAAAAGAGAGAAGAAAGUGACAUGACAACAAACAAAACUAAUUACUGGAUAUAAAGCUUUAAUUAACAGAAUUAUGAAAACCACUUAUCUAAUCCGUGACGUUUUCUUUAAUUAGAUAACAAUUGACUUUACAACAAAGAUGAUAAUCAAGCAGAUAAUGUGAUACUACCUAGCGAAGGGGUUAUACGCUUCUACUCUCUCCAACCUCAUCUUCUACGUUGGACUUUGACAUUUAAAAGUCAUUAUACAUUUUGAAACGAUUGAAAGUGAGGGUAAGCAUAUCAAAGGUUUUAACGAUAAGGUAAUCUUUGUGGACAAAAUAUUUUUUUAUUCAUUUCUAUUCCCUAAAAUGUCAGUAUAUUUAAUAAUCUUAUGUGUAUGUUUUAUAUAUAUAUAUAAAAAAUGUGACACUGAAGGUUGAUGACGAACAAUAUAUAUAUAUAUGGUAGAGAUAGUGUAUGUGCAAAGUAGGUGAAAUACAUACUGUCUGUAACCACAAAUAUGUGUUCACAUACCUUAGUUAUGCUACACAAAAAUACAGUGUACAACUAUAAACUACACAAAACACUAUCAUAACCAAUAUAUAUCAUCAAUUUUUAUUUUAAAUAUUAUGUAUAUAAAAGAUGAAUUUUAUUUUUCAGAAAUAGAAAUUGAUACGAACAAAAAUAAAAAAUUAUUAAACUAUGGAAGGAAGGAAACCUAACAAUAAGGAGAAAACGAUAUUAAGAAAAUAUAAUUUGUUACAUUUGAGAGUAUUUUGGUUUUAUGGUUUUUUUUAAGAUAUACCUAUAAUCAACCAAUACUAAAUAUUAGGGAGAAUUACCUAAUUAGUCCAUUUAGACCAGGAUUCGGCCCAUUUCUUCAGAUAUUAUUUGGGCUUUUAUAACUGAUAAAAGCCCAAUCCUUCCCAAAGUAUUGGGCUUUGUUGCUAAGCUCUCGUCCCAUACACUUGUUUAUCCACUUCUUUAAAAGCUUUUAUAGUAGUAAUAAUAAUUAUUAUUAUUAAUUGUACAAAGUAUUUGUAGUUUGGUUUAGGUUUUAAUUGUGCACUCAAACUAUGAAAUUUCUCACUUUAAUUCGAAUUCAAUAUUGCUGGGAGUUUAACCGUGUUUGAACCAUAAUUAAAUAACAUUUGAACUUGAGGGACCAAAAAGACACAAAUAUCAAACAUGAACCAAAAGUGCAUUUUGUUUAUUUUUUAUAGAUAAGUAAAUAUAAUUUUAAAAGAUAAACAAGAAUGUAGAUUAAAUUAAAGAUAGCACAAGAAAUAAAUCUAUUUACCAUACAUAACCAAACAAGUUUAACUAACAAAAGAGAUUUGAUAAAUUUAGCUAUAUUUUAUAAAUAGUUUAAAAAUUAUGAAAAAUGACUUUUAAAAAAUAAAACGAAGAUAUUUACUAAAACAAUUUGAAAAAGAAAAAAAAAAAGGUCACAUCACCACCCUAAAAAAUACCACCAUUGGACCUAAUAUAUUUGGUGAUGGUUUAGAUCUACCCAUUUAACUAGAACUAAAUUUAAGCAGGAUCUACCAAUAUGAAAACUAAGAUUAGAUAGUAAAAUUGAAUAAUUAAAGAUAUGAAGUAUUUAAAAUGUUGUAAGUAAAAGAAAGUAGUUUUAAAUGAAGUAAAAAGGUUGCAGUAAUUGUUAGAAAAGAAAAGGUGAUAAUAUUGAGUACAAUAAUUGAUUGUUUAAUGUGAUGAGAGCUACUUUGUACUGUGUGUCUCCCAACAAAGCUUUUGCAUCCCAAUAAUUUAGGUCCCACCCUCUUCUAAUCUCAAAAUCCAUCCGUUCAUUUAUUGACACGUGUACUAUUACUUCUACAUCUUAGAAUAUCUCCUCCUGCCACGUAAUACCCAGAGUGGCACACCAUUCCGUUAUUUCACACUAUUAAUACCACCACUCGAUUUAGAUCUACUUCCAUUCUUCUUCUUCUCCUUCUUCUUCACUCUCGAAGCCCUACGACUGAGUAUUGAUUUUCAAAUUCGAUCUCGAUCUUCAGUUUCUUUGCUCUGGGAAGUCGAUUUUUUAACAAUGUGAUGUAGUUUUCUUUCUCAAUCAUGGUUUGAUUUUCGUUCUUCAACGAUGGUGAUUUGGGACGGGAAAAUGAUUCGGAGGAUGAGGAUUCCGAUGAGGGUUUGGUUAAUUUUUCAAAAAUCUAUGGGGCUCCUCGUGGGUGGAAAUCACACAUCUUCCAGGUUUUGUACUCGCUAAUUCUUUCCUUCAAUCUGGUUUUUGAUUCUCUCUGUUAUUGUUAUUUUGAGGAAUUGUUUCCUAUUUGCUACGUCUUUCACGACGUUGAACGUUGAACGAACUCUGAGCGGGGAUUGGGAGUGGACAUUGAAGAAAUGAAUUUGAAGGCUGUGAAAUGGCAGAUCAUUCAUGGGGCAUUGGCCAGGCGUAUUGUUGUUCGAAUUUUCCUUCUCGCCUUGGCUGUUUCGGCUGUUCCUUUGUUGCAUAUUUUUAUGGGGGCUGAUUUUGGAGUGAUUCCGUCGGUGAUCUUUCGCGAUUGUGCUGUGAAGUAUGGUGAUGUGGAAGCGAAAGUUUCUCGAGGAUCGUAUAUGUUUCAAGGUCAUUUUCUGAAUUCAAUUUGGGUGCCAUUUGUAGCGAUGCACUGUGAGGAGUAUAAGAAUCUGACGACUAAUGUCGUUGCGGAGUUAAUGGAGAAGAAACUUUUGAAUCAUACUGCUAAAUCUCUGUGCGUUGGAGAGGGAUCGGGAUCUGCCGUUUUGGCACUGAGGGACAUAGGAUUCAGUGAUGUUAUCGGUGUUGGUCAACACCGAUUUUUCUCUCUAAGGAGAAAACAAUUCGUUUACGAACUGGACUUUAAGAGUGGAUACUUUGAUUUUGUUUUCUCUAGAGAUCUAGACAGGUAUUCAGUCCCUGCACUUUUGGUGCUCGAGAUCGAGCGUGUGCUUCGGCCUGGUGGAAUUGGGGCCGUUAUUGUGUCCACGAGUGAGUCAAUGCCAAAUAAUUUGAUUAGAGCUGCGACCCCAGUUUCAUCUUUGCUGAAAACUUCCACUGUGAUGCAUGUUGGCCAUGUUAACAACUUAACUCUGGUUGUAUUUAAGAAGAAAUUCGAAGAAUAUCGCCAUUUGGAGGAGCCUCGCCUAUCGUCUGAAUGUCGCUCUCUGACAAGGAACAAGCCUUUGAUUCCAAAACUGGAGCCUCUUGUGAAGGAAAGACCUGUGGGAUUUGACAAAAAGUUGUCUUAUUUACCAAAGUUUGUUGAUGUUUCCAGUGGGAAAAGGUUGAUAUACGUUAAUAUUGGAACAGGGAAACGCUUGAAUCACACAAACACAGACUGGUUUCCACCUUCCUAUCCUGUGGCACGCAGAGAUUUUAAUGUUUAUUUUGUUGAUCAUGACAUGUCUUCUCUCGCCACCCAUAUUCAUAACCCCGGAGUCACGUUUGUUUAUCAUCCCGCCCUAGCAGGAACUGAUCAGACAACAGAUAGCGACGAUGCUGCCGAUGACGAAGAUGAAGAACCUUACAUUGACGACGAGUUUGAUUUUCUGUCUUGGUUCAAGGAAACUGUGCAGCAUUCCGAUUUCGUCGUCUUGAAGAUGGAUGCAGGGAAGGAAGAACUGAAGUUUCUGUCAGAUUUAUUCGAAAGUGGGGUUAUUUGUUGGGUGGAUGAGGUGUUUCUGAGCUGCAGAGAUGGAGUUGAUGAAGAAGAUGGUGAUCUGAAGAAAAGAGAAUGUACGGAUUUGUACAAGGAUUUGAGGAACAGUGGUGUUUAUGUCCAUCAAUGGUUUCUCGAUGCUGUUCCUUCAUCCAUGAAAAUCUGAAGUUGUUUACUUUGGUUCAUGGUUGGUAAGUAAAAAUGCUGAUGAGUUGCUAUGUGGUUGAGCGCUCAAUUAGACUUAUAAUAACCAACCACUUCGUUUACUAUUUUCUGCUUUUGACUUUUUUCAAGUAUUGAAGCAAUGAACUGAAUCUGCAUGGUUUUUGUUUAGAAUAAAGAACUCUUGUAUGAGUUUGCUUUAUGAUGGUUGGUGGUGUUGUUGAUGCAUUCAAUAUUUUAAUAUGAUUAUAUGAGUUGAUGAAUUUCUUAGGUCUCCUACUUUUGAUUUAUAUUAUAUUGUUAAUCAUAGUCAUGAUGUGUUUGCACCGACAAUGGGGAGUUUUAUUAGUGCCUCUAAUGUAUGAUGUGACAUGAAUUAUACAUUAUUAAUAUUAGGUGUAUGAUAUACUUCCAAAUCCAAUAAUGAGUGACCGAUUUAAUUGGUUUGAUAGGAAAUCACAUUCUCUAUCAUUGCCGGAGAUGUCGAAUAUUAUUUCUAGUACUAUGGUUUCUUCAAUUGUUGUUGAUUAGUAGUGCGAGUUAAAGUAAUACUCCACUCAUCUUUCCAUUUAGUUGAAUAAAACAAAAGUUUAACAUGAUUAAGAGUUGAGAGUAGAAAAUUUUAAAUAGAAACCAAUCAACUCUUGACAUGGCCUUUCUCUUGAUAAUCAUCACUGCAUCAAAACAGAAAUAUUAUUACCUUUUAAUUUGUAUUUGAUAUAUGCUUUGUUCUCACGUAAGUUUGUUUUAAAUUUUGAUUUUAAAAUUCAAAGCUUUAUUUAAAAAUGAUGAAGAAUAAAGCAAAAUGAAAAAGUGGAUGUGGAAGUUUAAUUUUUGAUUAAAUUAUAAGUUUAGUAUCUGAUCUUAUAUCUACUUAAUUACUACCCUUUAAAAGAAAGUUUUUUUUAAAAAAAUACAAAAAAAAAAAAAAAUCAUCAAAAUAUUUAUAAAAUAUUAAAGAAAAAAGUUUAGUUCUAUCAAUCAUAUGACAAAUGCACUUAUAGACACUUAUAAGUCUUCGGAUUGAUUGAGAAAUUUUGCAUAUUUUAUAGACACUUAUAAGUGUUCGGAUUGAUUGAAAAUUUUUGCAUAUUUUGUAAAUAUUCACGAGUUUUCAUCGUUUGAUGUUGGAAGAAACUUCAGGAGUUGCCACCAACUGUUGCACGUUACCAAAGGAAGAAGAGAACAACACAACUUUGUUUGUUGUCUUUGUUGCCUGCUUGGAAGUAAAAUACAUCAAAGAGAGUGAUAUCAUUGCAAAGACAAAAUACAAUGAAUAGAUCUAAAGAAAGACGGCAAGAGAGGAGGAAGAAGACGAUAAGAAAAGAAGAGUCCCGAGAUCACAAAGGAAGAAAAAUAUAUUUUAAAAGGUUCGAUAAACAGUGACAUUAUUUCAUUUAUUCUUUUUGUAACGCAUCAUUAUGAGUGACAUUGAGGAAAGAACCUCAACCAUUGAAAAGGCAUAAUGAAUGUGGCGUUGAUUGUACAAGUUGACUUGCCAGUGCGGGUAGAGAUGGUAAGUACAUUAAUCAAGUCCAAUUAGCUUAGCAUAUCGUAUACAACGUCCACAAUUGUCGAGUUAACUUUGAUGUUGGAAUAGAAAUCUUAGACACUUCGAAGGUGUAAAGACGAGAAUGGACAUACUAAUAUACAUAUACCAAUACCAAUACCAAUACCAAUACCAAGAUGCUAGAAGUGAUUAAACAAAAAGAAAAAAUGGCAAAGGAUUUGAAGUCAAACAAAACGUGGCUCAGCUCAAGUAUAUAUAGUAGAGAUAAAUUCUAGAGACACUUCCGAUGAUGAGAAUACAGGCACAACUGUUUACAAUUUCCUUCUUUCUUUUUCUUCUUCCAUUGCACAAUCUCACAAUGUGCUGACAAUAAGCUUAGAGCUUUCCUUUCUUGAUUAUUUAGAACAUGUAGAAAAUUCGGGGGAAAUAAAAUCAAUUCAGAUGAUGCAAAAAAAAAAAGAAAUGCAAUAAACACAGUGCUGUACAGAGUUUGCUUCAAUGGCGGUAUAACAAUAGUACCAUUUUUAACUUUCUUCUGGCCCAUUGCUGACCCUUAUCUCUAAGAGCCUAUCCACAGGUUGUCUGCAAAUCGGGCAUCGAUUCGUCUGGAACCUCAGUACCUUAGCACAACCACUACACAUACACUGCCAACAAAAAGAGAACAAGUUAAUCAUCCUGAAGAUGUGAUUGUAGUGAGCUCAGAUGCAUCCUGGACAGAUUAAACUAUGAAAGAGAACGUUGUUGUUACCAUGUGUCGGCAGGGAAGGACAGUCGUGUCCCGUGGCUCUGACAAGCAAAUGACACAUUCCUUUCCAGGGUCAUUUCCAUCAACAUCUCCCUCAACUGAAUUGCCAAUGCCAUAUAUCUCCUGUAGUUCAUAUCUCAUACCAUUGACCCACAGGAUUUGUUUCAACACUCUUACCUGAUAUUCACCUUUAUCUUUCUCAAACACUGCUUGUGUUAUCUGAGAAUUCAUGGGAUCAGGUACCGGGGUACCAUCUGGGCCAGUUUGGGUGUCUGUGGAAGCUUCAGCUUUUACGACUAGUGGAUAGACAUCGGUGUCAUUCACUUUCAAAAACUCAGACUCUUCAAACUUUGAGAAAUCUAUUCCUGUUCCAGAAGGUUGUCUGAACUUCUGUCCAAGCCCUUGCUCGAAAUGAACGGUUAUUGGUUGAAAAAUGUCUUCUUUUACAGGGGUCAAGUUACAAUCUUCACCUUCUUUCGCAAAGAAGAAGAUGGUGAUACUGUUUCAAGAUAAGAGAGACUCAGAUUCUCAUGCUAGCAGAUCUCAAAUAAAAGAAACAAGAAAUUUAAUUGUAAAAACAUCAUGACAACCACAGGAAAAGUACCCCAUCGUGAAGGAUCAAGUAAAUAACUAAAUAGAAUAAAAUUGAACAAUUGACAGCACUAAGAUGACAGAUGCUAAAAAAAAGAAAGAAAAACAGAAAAGCGAUCUAAAGAAUGUUUUCAAAUGCUCUUAAGGCUUAUCCCCUAAGGUUUGUCUCAAGGAUCUUUGGUUCAGAGACUUGAGCUACCUCUAAUUCAUAAGAUGCUCAGACUAAUGCCUUCAUGAAAAUCGAGAAUGCAUCAAGAAUUGGAAGACUUAUGGACUAUAACAAUAGUUAAAAUAAUAACACCAGUUUAUUGUCCUAUUUAUAAGUCAACUUACAUGUGUGUCAUACUAAUACAACAUGGGCUUGGAAUACAUUUCAUUAUAUUACUUUCACUAAGACUUGAAGGAGCCCCAUGAAAAUGAAAGGUUAAGGAAAGACCAAACACUCGACCCCUUCAGAAUAGUGAUAGUGAUAGUAGGAAGGAGUAAGAACCUUUGCUUUAAAAAGUGAUGAUGAACGUAAAAUCUUUUAUGUGGCCAUGAUUCACGGUUUACAAACAUAUGAUUUCAUUUAUGAUUCUGUGUAUGAACUUCAGCCUCGCCACUGAAAACAAGACCUUAAGACUACUAAAUAAGCCUUAUAAAAAAUUGCCUCUAAUCAAACUCAUAAGCAAGCGAAAGGAAAGGACUGUCCACAUUUUCCAUCUUUUGAUUUUUGGUGAGUUGAGGAGGGAGCGGGAUGGCAAUCAAUAAGUUAAGGUUUAAUAAACGAUUGUAGGUGAAUACAACCUAUAAUAGCAGCAUAAUCAACAAAUUCCUAUAAGUCAACUUGAACAUAGCUCAGAUAAUCACAAGGCCGCAGGUUCAAAUCCCCUUCCCUGAUGCACAGAGAUUUAAAAGAAAAAACCAACAACAAACACCUACAGUCUUGAUUAAGGUGUGUUAAAAUUCAAGCCCAAAAGCUAGCAUUCACAACAAUAUACACCUGAAGUUGAGUCAGUUUAGUUCCAAGGAGUUAAACAUCUCAAUCGUCUCUAACCGUAGGGAAAAUUCUCCUUUUCACCACCUCAGAGAACUGCUGCUUCACAAUUUUAAUCAUUAAACAUCUAUGAAAAACAAGAGAACACGACUUGUUCCAAUCAUUUUUAACAAGCAUGGAAGGUUUCUUGAAAUCUACAUCAAAACACACAAGGCUAUAAUUCUUUAAGCAAAAUAAACCAUGCAAGACUUGUUCAACCACUUUGCUCCUCAGUAUCAGAAAAACAAAAAACAAAUAAAAUCAGACCGAACAAUUCUAAAAACCCAUCAAAUACCUUCAAUUAACAAUCACAGAUACAAAAAAAUAAUAAUAAUAAAUAUAAAAAAAAAAGCUCCCAAGAUUAGAACAAAACACAAACCUCCCAGCAACGGUGGCAUCGAACGUGAACGAUACAAGGAAUUGCCCCGGAUUUUCUUCAUCAGGUUCAACCUUAAGAGUUUCCUUCUUGAGAUUAACAUCAUUCCGUAUAGUAACCGCCUUCUGAUGCUCUACAUAGGGCGUUUGAGGCGGCAUAGGAGGGCCAUAAGGGUAUCUCCCACCGACCCAAUGAGCAGGAUCCAUCUGGGGAUGACCUCCACGAUGGUGAUGAUCGUAAGGCGCCGGUAGAGGCAUCGGCAUGGAUGGGGGUGGACCAGGUGGCGGUGGAAAGUAGCCAGGAUACUGGUAAUACGGCGGGGGAUGAUUGGGAUGGUUGGGGUAUUGAGUUGGGUAAGGCGUAGCGGCAGCGAAAACGUAUCGAUUACUUGUAAUUUCGGGUUGGGGUGGUGGAGGAGGUGGGGGAGUAGGGUGAUUCCGGCGAGUACCGUGUCUUCUACGGGCAUUGGAACCGGAGCUGCCAAUGUUACCCAUGGGGGUGAAUAUGUGGUAAAAGGGAAGGGGAAUCUGAGAAGAGAAAGGAAAGGGAGAAGAAGGGGAAUGAAAAGAGGAGGAAGAAGAAGAAGAAGAAGAAGAUAUAGAAGGGAAGGGUGAAAUUGGGAGGAAAUGACAGAGGAAAGGGGUAAGGAAAAUGGGAAAAGAACAGAGAAGAGAGAGAAAGGGGGAGGGGAAUGGAGGUUGGGUGGCGACUAUAAUGGGGAUUGCGUAAAGCUCCACCCAGAAAAACCAUCCAUUUCAGGAUGGGAAGGUCAUGACUCUCUUAAACUGAGCUGUUCUUUCUCUCUCUUUUCCUUUUCCUUUUCCUUUUCCUUUUUCUUUUUUUAAAUAAUCAAAUCAAAGCUAACCCAAAAUAUGCUUUUUUUAUAUUUAUAUAUUUAUCUCAAUUAACUAUUUACAUUUUAUGCUAAAUAUUUUGCAUAUUUCGUCCAUUUUUUCAAUUUUCCUUUGUUUUAUGAUUUCUUUUUUUGUAAAGGAUAAUUUGUCAAAUUAGUGAUAUUAUCUAAUUAUUAUUUAUAAUUAGAAGGUAGGAGAGUUAAUCGGUUAACUUUUAACAUCGUUAGUAUAAGUAUUAUGGUAAUUGAGUUGUGGUCGUAAAAUAAGUUAAUUUUUAUUGCAUUGGUGACAUGGUUUCCUAUAAGAGUGUAACAAAAGCUUAAAAAGAUUGAAACAACCUGAGUUGAUUUACUGAUUUGCUUCAAUUGUUUUAGUAUAGACUUAAAACAAUUUUGGUUUGUAUUUGGACCAAAACAAUCACCUAGAUAAAUGAAGGUGAGGUAAUUAUCCAUAGUGGUUUUUCAAGAAGUAAAAACAAUAACAAAAUAGUUAUCAAAUGCCGAUGAUAAAUUUAAAUUCAUAUUUAUUAUAUCGAACAAUAUACAAAUUAUUAUAAAUCAUUAUAUAUAUUUAUAAGUCCUUGUAAAUAUUUUAUUCCUUUAUUAAUUUAAGAUUUCAUGAAUGAUGAUGUAAACUAUCUUGAUUGAUUUGUACUUAUUUUUGACACCGUCUUCUAAAAUAAUCCAAAAUGAAUACAAAGACUUUAAUAUUUCAAAAAAUUAAUUUUGAUGUUAAAAAUUUUCAUUAGAUUUUUACAAUAUCUUACCCCUAAAUAUAAUAUUAAACAUAAAAGUAUUGUAAAUGUAAAUUAGGACUAACCUUGCUUUUUGACUACAAAUCUCACUUUCUCUGCCAUCUUUCUUAAAUAUUUUAUCACUAAUAUUUUAUUGUUCUUAUUUUUCAAUUCAUACUUUUACUACAUAUAUAUAUAAGGAAUUCUAGUGGAAACAAAUCGAAUUAGGUUAAAUUGAGGAGUAUUUUAAAAUCAACCCGAACUUUCGAGUUAGUAGAGUUGACAACCCAAAUGACCUUAGAAAUAUUUGCAAUCUAGUCCAACCCUAAAAUUGUAGAUUGAGUUUGGUUAUCAAGUUGUAUAAUUUUUUUUCAUUUCUAAUAUUUGUUAAAUUAAAAAAACAUGAUAACAUCACGUCCAUAAAUCUACAUAUCAAAAAAACAUCCCUAGAAUACAAUAUUAAUCCAAUAAUACUUAACGAAAAGUUUGAGAACGUCUAGUAUUACUUAAAGAAGAGUCAAAUAUGAACCAAAUUUCUAAUCUAUUUUUAAAAAAAACAUUCUAAACAUCAUAGUGUAAAACUUAAUAUAAAUGUAUAUAAUAUCAUUAAUUCAUAUUAGAUCUGGGAUAAACUAAAAUUUUCAAACCUCAAUCCUAGACUCAACCCGACCCUAAAAAACUUUCAACUUAAUCAAAAUUUUAAAAUAACUCAAUUAAACUUUUAUAAUAUGAAUAGAAAAGUGUAGGUUAUUCAAGUUAUUGUAAGGGUAAAUUUAAAAUGAAAAUGAUAGUAUGAUAUGGAUUAGAAUGAUAGAGAAUUUAAAAAGAAAAAAAAAAGGGAAAGUGGGAAGAAAAAAAGAGUGGUAAUAAGAAAAAGGAAAUUAUGCGUUUUUCCACUAAUGAAAUUAUGUCUGUUCAAAAUAAAGAAACAAAUUUGUUAUACCCUACCAACCCAUACCCAUUUUUCUUUUUUAAAUAAACAAAAUUAUUGUCUUUAUGCACCACACUAACCCCAUUAUAUAUAUAUAUAUAUAUAUAUAUAUGAAGGAUAGUUUGCUUCUACUAUAUUCAUAUAUCAAUCAUUCUCUCCUUUCUCUAUUUAAUAAAUAAAAAAGAAAUAACUCUUUUUCCUCUUUAAUCCCACCAAACAAAUUUUUAUAUUUUCUUUUUAAUACCACGAAUCUACACAUGUGAAAAAAAUUUAAUAGAAUGUGUAAAUAAAUUGGACCCAUUCAGUAUUUGUAAAUAGAAAUAUAAUGUGUUUUUAAUUAAUCUCACAUAGUACAAAUUGAAUAUAUAUGUAAGUAUUUGGUACUUACACUUAGUUUUAAUCGUAAGAAAUAUAUAUAUACAUCAUACUGAUUUUUAAAAUUUUAUUUUAAUGGCGAUAAAAAAAUUACUAAAUAUAAUUUAAUUUUUUAAAAGUAAUUAGUAGAUAUCUAUAUUAAGAAUUGAUUAAUAUGGACAUAACACAAAAUUGACACAAAAACUUUGUUGAAGUUGGAGUAAAAAAGGAGGUCAAAAUUAGAAAAAUGUUAAAAUAAUACGAGUUUAGAUUAAGAAAAUACCCCUACACUAAACACUAAAACACAAUAAAAGUAAUUAAUCUUCCGACUCCUAAUUUUAAAUCUAAUAUAUUCUAAGCAUGUUUGAAACAGAACUAAUUAAUAAUUUGUGUUAAAUUAAAAAUACUAAAUAAACAGAAACUUAAAAAUCCUAUGGACUAAUUUUUUAAUAGAACAAUAGGAUAACAGAACGAGACCAUGACUCAUGAAAAUUUGAAAUAUUUUAAGAGUAAAUUUUGAAGUCACGAUGAAUAAUUAAUAAGUAAUUUUUUAUAUAAAAAAAAAGUUUAAAUUUAGUGAUAGUAUAUAUAUUAGAUUAGAUUAUAAAAAAAUGGGAAUGGAAUGAUGGAAACGUGUAGGGAAUGUGGAGUAGGGUAACUGUGCUUUAUUCGGCGAAUAAAUAUGAUUUCACGCAACACCGAUUAGCUUCUCCAUUUUGGACGGAUCCAUUUUUCAUUUUAAAUUCACUUUUAUAUUCAUACUUAUCUCUUCAUAUAUAUAUACACACACACACAUUAUUUAUUUUAUGAGUCUUUGGUCCAAAGAAUGUAACCUUAAACAUAUAGUCGGAAUAAAAACAGUUCAAGAACAAAAUGAAGAGAAGUCAACAAAAGAAGAAACUAAUAUAUACAUGCAUAUUGGUUUUGAGCUUGGUCUCCUAGACUUUUACUGAUUGCACCAAAUUUCAAUUUGAACUUUACGAAAUUCCUACUCAUUUUUAUAGUUAACCCAUGUUUGAAUUCCUAUGUUCACAAUUUUUUAAAACAAAUAAAAUGACCAUCAUUGUUUUCAAAAAUGGUCUACUUCAUGAGUUUUUCAAAAUUGUUUCUAAAACGAGAAUACCAAACACAUUUUAAUUAUUUUUUUCUUUUUUUUCUUUAUGAAAAUCAAGAACCAAACGGUGUCUAAUAUUUAGUUAGUUUUCAGAAUUUAAAUUGAUUUUGAAAACAUUCAUAACACAAACAAAGAAAUUUAUAGGUAAGAAGGGGCGUUUAUAACUUAAAAUUUAAAAGACUUAGAGAAAAAAAAAAUCAAAGGGUUAUGAAAAAAUUAAAACCAACAACAUACAAAUAAAGGUAUGCUGUAUACUUUAUUUAAUUUCAAUUUGACCUCUCCACCUCGAUAAUUCAAUUCAAUCUUCCCCCAAUUUUACAAUGAAAAUUGGUAAUGUCAAAUUUUCAUUUUUGCAAAACUAAAAAGCAGAUGGAAAUUUUUUGAAACUUUCAACACAUGGAAGACAAAAUUGAAACAAAUUGAAUGAAGGGUGUGUAAUUAAUUUAGUCUAAAAUUACCAUAAACUUCAACUAAAAUCUGAGUCCAAAUGAGGUUGGACCCAACAGUUCUCCUCCAAUCUAUUCAUCUUCUGAUAUUUAUUCCUGGAUGCCUAAAAUAAUCACCAAGCAAAUCAAUCAAGACAACAACAUAAAUUGAGCAUUUCAUAAACAUUGAAUAUAAAAAAGCCAAGCUCAAUAGACAAGCCGACAAGAUAUUAAUUAACAUUUCAAAGAUGGAUUUGUUCAAUCCCCCACCCUAUAAUUAUUAGAGUUGAAAAGGAAAUUAAUUAAUUAGCACUAAACAUUGAAUGGAAUCAUAUAUUAUUCAAAAGAGUGCAAAUCUGCAAAAUACUGACUGAUCCAUACAAAGGAAAGGAUUCAUCUCCAUAAUACACAUGCAGUUUAAGCCGUUUCCAGGCACCACAAAAAGAAUAACAUAAUUUAGAGGUUCUUACGGCAAACCUUUAUGAUCAAGAAGCUCAAUUUUUCACGGAUGUCACAUGCUUCAGGAGCAUGUUCACAACAUCUGGUGAAAUUCUAGCAGACUCUUCUUUCAGGUGAUAAAUCUUUUCAUCUGUCUCGAUUUCAAGCCGCUUAACAUUAGCUCCUGAGUCUCCGCUACUCUAUAUGAUCAAGGAGGGGGCAGAGUUAGCAGAUAUAUUCCAAAAUCUCUGGAUGAUUUUUCCAUAAAAAGGACAAAGUGUGCAUGUUUGUAAUAGUUCCUAUACUAACCUCAGCAAGUUUUCUUUGGAAAUCAGACUCGACUUGGGCACGAUAUGCAGCAAUUUCCUUUUCAGCCUCUUCUUUGGCUUGUUUCAGUCUAGCCAAUUUUGCUAAAAGGAAAGGAAAAUCAAGUCGUUGAGUUAUAAAUUAUGUUUAACUUUACAGAUUCGUAAUGUAAUGAGGAACAGGUAGAUCAAUAGAAGGAAAAUAGGAUUUGAUAAUGAUCCAUCUUGAUAUUUCAUAAAGUCAGUGUCAAGCAAAUUAUGAACUGAACUCUGGAACUACAUGCCAUUCGAGGAAAUCAACAUAUUUGGACCAAAUUAAGACUUUACAUGCCUGUGAAUGUUAAAAAAAUAACAAAACCAAAAAUAAAGGGUAAGCUUACCAUUUCUGGCAGCAUUGACAAUGUGUUGAGCUUCUUGCUCCGCAGCAAGCAAUUGUUGGAUACCACCUUGACUCCUAGUUGCCAUAUUCUCCCCUACAAAAGAAAAUGAUUUUUGUGAAGAAAUUAAGUAAAAGAAGGUAGUGGAAACUCAGCAAAAUGACAUCCUGAUCAGAAACUGCGAUGCUAAAUGUGAUUAAUUUAUCUCUGAUGUGAUCAUGAAUCAUGAUUUGUUAAAUCAAGCCAAUUUCUUAACCAAAGUGUUAGUAGCAGCAAUCGUAAUGGAGCGUGUUUUUUUUAGUACAACAGAUUGAGGGGCGAUGGGAGAUUGAGCCUCCCACCACUAAGAUGCAAAGUCAUGACAAUUACCGUCAACUAUGCUCACUUCAACAUCAUGUCAUGUUUUAAUAUUCAAGGCUUCGAUACCUAUGGCUAAGAUUCCAACUUCCAUAAAACCCACGAGGCUUGUACCUUAGGCUAAUGGAGCCUUACUCAACUUAGAAAUGAAAACAAUUCAUAAAUCUUAACGCUUUAAGUGGGUGGUACUUCAAAAGGUAGUUGGCUCAAGAGUCUUUCCAAACAUCGUUAAGACUAUUUUAGUUUCGUCUCAUUUUAAUUUAGUGAAACCUAAAACUAGUCUAUAAAAUUUAAAUUAUAGUUUAUCACCUAAUCAACACACUAAUUUUAGUCCGACCUCUUAUUCCUUAAUCAUGGUCAUAUCAUUAACCAUAACAACCGAAGAUAAAAGCACAUGAAAAUGAUUGAAUUUUUCCUCACCUUAGGUUUCAAAACCAAGUCAACUUAGAAAUUUGAUGCACCGGAAUACAAAACAACCUCUAUCCAUAAACUCAACCCAAACCUAGUUCACCAAAAGAUUACUCUACAACAAAUCUUUUAAAAUCGUAAAUAGAUUGUGUACAUCAGAAGUAAGACUGAACUUAAAAACUUCAGAAAAAUCAAAUAAAUCUCAAGUUUGAAAUUCCCAAAUCCAACACUUAAUUACACUAUCCAGAUGCAGCUUCCUUGACCUGGCGGAAGCGGAUGCAGAUCGAAUAAGUGUCGAUUCGUCAAACUGCAAAUCUAAUAAAACAAAGAGAUCACCCUAAAAGAAACUUCUGAUAUCAAUCAAUCCAAAGAGAACAGGAAACACAAAACAAAAGGAUGCGGAAACACAGAUCUCAUCAGUGACCAGGCGUACACCAAUAUCGGAGAAACAAAACAGAGAGAAAGAAAUCGGCAAUCAAAGAAGUAGAAGAAUCAAUCACACGGAAGAGAAAAGCAAAGCGAUGAAGAAGAUGAAACGAGCAUAGAUUCAGAUUCCAACAGAGGAGAUCAUGACAAGGAUUAGUUAGGGGGAGAGUGAGGAAAUAGAAGUUAGAGAGAUGGUUACCUGAAGAUCGGAGAAUUUGCGGGUGCGAAGAAAUUGGAAGAUUCAGAGGAAAUCGGGAUCGGAGUGAUGAAGAAAAAAAGAGGGAGGAAGAGGAGUUAUGUGGUGAGGUGGAUUUUUGGUUUUAUCUUUUUUUAAGGGAGCAAAAACGACGUGGUCGCGAGGAACACGAUUCUUCUUUUGUUGUAGUGGGAAUUUACUGUUUUCCCAAUAAAGUUUUUAAUCCCAUCAGGAAUAUCUUAAAUUAUAAAUUUAUUUCUUAUAACUUUUAAUUAAACUGAAUUUUCAAAUAUUAAUUUCAUACAAAGUCCUCACAAACUUUUUAAGGUUGAUUGUAUUAUUGAAUUUGUACUUUCAAUGGUAUAGUUAAAUAAUUAUAAAAAAAACUCUAGAGUUAUUUUGGACCAUUAAAUCUUACUAUUUGUUCUACAUGAAUGACAGAAUUUUAGAUAUUAUCAUUGAAUUUGUUUGAUAACCAAGUAUCUUUAAACUAUAUAUAUAUAUAAGUGAUGGUUCCCAAAAUUUAUAAUAAGAGAGUUACCAAACAAAAGAGAAAUUGUUUUGAGGAGAAAGUUAUUUACAUUUCUCAAUAAGAAAAAGAAAUUUGUAACUCCAAUUUGUGAAUUAUUAUAUCAUUACCCUGAUUUGUUUAGGGAUUUCUACUUACUCACAAUGUGAAUUACAUAACAUCUAUAUUGAAUACAAAGAAAGCCGUGAAAUAUCAAACAACAGAUACAAAUGGUUAAGUUGGUGAGAAACCAUGUCUUUGAAAACUAAAAUUAUUCAUCCAUUGGUACAACAAUUUAUCUAGCAAUUCACUACCCAAAAUUACAAAAUCAUAUGUUUAUACAAAGAAUUCACUUACAAUUCUUUGAACACUUCUGUUCUACCUUUCUACUUGGGGAGGGAAAAAGAUUAUAUAAUUUAUAAAAGAAAAAAAAAAUACUCUUCUUACAAUUUGUAUUCUUCUCUACUACUCAAAAAAGAGAUAAUAGCGUGAUUUAAAAAAAUGUAAGUUAUGUCUAUGAUUUUAGAAGCGAGUUGGCGGUGAGCUUCUAAAAGAUCCGAUUGCUUUCACGGCGGAGGCUCGAAGAACAUAUUGAUAAUACAUUGCAGCAAUUGUUGAUCCAAUUAGUGGCCCAACCCAAAAAAUCCACUGCAAUAUUAUCAAACACAACCUAUUUUUAAGUUCAUAUAUAUUCAUAAUCAACCAUCCUAAUAUACGCUAAAAAACAAUCUUCCAUCCUAAACUUUCAUGAAAAAUAACAAUCUAGUUCAUAAAUGUUAACCGAUAACAAUUUAGUUCAUAUAUCAAAGGGAAGAAAGAAGAAAGAGAGUGUGGAUACAUACAUGAUCUUUCCAAACUUUAUGAUUGUUGAUGAUGACGGCAGGACCGAAGCUUCGAGCAGGGUUAAUGCCAGUGCCGGUGACGGGAAUGGUGGCGAGGUGAACAAUGAAGACAGCAAAGCCAAUGGGGAGUGGAGCCAAGACAGGAACAUGGGAAUCUCUAGCAUUGCGUUUGGGAUCAGUGGCGGAGAAGACAGUAUACAGAAGAAUAAAGGUGCCCAUAAUCUCAACAGCAAGGCCAGUGCCUCGGCUAUAACCAUCAACGAGCUGGUUAGCGCCACCGCCAUAGUGGUUGUAAUGAUCUCGCUGCAAUGUCUUGACUAAGGCGCACCCGCACAGGGCCCCUAUGCACUGAGCUAUGAUGUAGAGCAAGGCUCGGACCAACGAUAUCUUUCUUGUUAAAAACAUUCCGAAUGUCACUGCUGGAUUUAUGUGCCCUCCUGCCAUUUUUUACCCAUCCAUCAACCAAUUUCAUCCUUCUAAAUAAAUUCUACACUAAAUUACCCAUUCCUUUUACUUCAAAUGUAAUUUUGUAUUUGUUGAUGAAAGAUCAAACUAAUACAUAUAACUUUAAACGUUACAACAAUGAAAGAUCAAAGACCUAUAAAAUAUUUUUAAUGAAGUUUACAAAAAAUAUAUAAAGUUCGAAUACCUUUUGAACACAGAAUUGAAAAAUGUUUAGUUUGAGCUUCAACAAAUUCCAUAAAUUUUAGCUCUAAACUUGAAAAAUAAGUUGUGGUGACUAAUAAUUAGUUUGCUUAAUUAUUUUAAAUCUUAAUAAUUUCCAAUGUAAUCAUAUUAAAUGGUGUAAUUUUCAGAUGAAGAACUUUACCAGAGAUACCGGCGGUGCAGUAGACGAGGACGAAGAUCAUACCCCCGAAGACCCACGAGAUUCCGACGGGACCAACUCCGGCGCAUACAUUCCCGCCGUUGAUCGGGUCCAUCUGGCUAUUGUUUCCGAUCACCGUCAAAACGACGACGUACAGAAACAACAGAGUCGCCACAAACUCAGCGAUGAUAGCUCUGUAAAACGACCAUUUCCCGAGCUCCUCCAUGUCGAUCAUCGGCGCCGGCAGCGGAUCAAAAUAGUCUUUCCUCGACGCCGCCCCCCGACCUCCGAUUUCGAUGUCGCUGGUCGCCAUUGCUGCAGGAUCUCAGUGAAUGUGAAUGUGAAGUGAGUGAAAUUUUUGUAAGGGGUUGGAUUGUGAGUUUGGGAAUGGGGAAAUUUGGAGAUGGAUAUUUGAAUGAUAGAUGAGAUAUAAGUGAUUUUGUUGACAUCCAAACACUUCUUUGGUUUCGUCUGUGUUAAUCCGCAUCUCUCUAUGAAGGAAUUUGUGGUUCGUUCGUUUGAAUUGAAAUUUGAAAAUUUCCGCCACAAGAUGAUUUCUCUCCAAAUUUAGUCUUAGGAUUAGAAUGAGAGCGAUUACCAGAGAACCAUUUGUCCAUCCCCUUUCUCUCAAUUAUUAUUACAUUACUCCUAUUUUAUUUAUUUUUUAUUUAAUACAUAUUAAAUUUAAGAUUUAUUAAAAAUUUAGACACUAAAGUUAAAAUAAGAAUUAAAGUUUGAGUAAAUUUAUAGUAUAGGAACUAUUCAAUUUGUUUUAAAAAAUAUACUUCACAACCAAACCAAACUUUUUUUAAAAAAUUGAACAUAAAUUGUUACUUUAAAUCAUAUUAUACGAUCCGGACCAAAAAUUAUAUGGUAACUUUUAGGAAUAUUUAAAAGAAAAAAAUUGUUACAGCUUAACAUUUUUCAAAGUUAUGAUUAAGUGUUAUAUUUAUUUGUUAUUGAAAACAACUUUUCCUAAAGAAAUUAUUUCUUAUACUCUCUAAAAUCAUUUGCUUUGUUACCCACCAUUCAUAAAAAAAGAGUGUAUUGUAUUAUAUUGAAAUCCAAAUAAAAAACAAUAAACAAUGUAAAUUAGCAAGAGAAAAUUCAUAAAUAAAACACUAAAUUGCUUGCUUCCCAUCUCAUCAUAUGUUAUUGCACCCUUUCAUACCAUUUUGAACUAAGUAAACUUACUUAAUUUUAUCAUAUUUUAAAUUACUAAAUCAAAUACCAUAUGCAAAAAGACCAUAUUAUUUCCCAAAUAAACUCUACACUCUACCUUAUUGAUCUUAAUAUGUUGAAAUUUAACUUCUUGUUUCUUUUGUUUGAUUAACUUUUGAAAAUUGUUAAUACAAUGAGUUGAUUUCUUUUAUUUGAUCGACCUUUUAAAAUUUGUUAAUAACAUUGUAUGUUGACUUAUUCAUUUUGUACGUUGAAUUGAUCAUUGGCUUUUGAAUUGAUCAUUGGCUUUUUGAUUGACCUUUUAAAAUUUGUUAAUAACAUUGUAUGUUAACUUAUUCAUUUUGUACGUUGAAUUAAUCAUUGACUUUAUCGAUCUUUCAUCAAGCUAUUGCUGUUUAGUAUUAGUGUUAAUAACUUUAGGGUUUAUUAGUAUUAAUUUUAAUAACUUUAGGGUUUAGGGUUUAUACAAUGUAUAGUUAUCCAUAAUUUAGCUGGAUUGGAUCUAGCUAAUGACCAAAAAUAUAAAUAAAAUUAAAGUAUAGUAUGUUAAGUAAUGAGUAGUAAUCAACCGACACAAUUUUAAAAGACAAAUUAAAAUCAUGCAUAACACGUGCACUGCACGCUGCACCACAAUAAAAUAAUUUUUUAAAAAAUGGGAUUAAGGCAAAUAAAAAAUAGAUGGUUGAGUGGAGUGGGCCGCACGGCCCAAUGGAUAUUGAGAAGCCACGUCACCGCUUAACCACACACCAAUUAUUCAUACCCUUACACGUAAACCAUACUCGCCCACUCAAUCAUUACGGUGACACGUAGUGCCGGCACUCGCUACGUUUCGCAAGCCAUAAUGCUAAUUCUUUUCACACUUCUAAUUACAAAAUUUGGUAACUAAAUUAAUUUAUAAUCUGUUGCCUAUUGCGAUAAAUAUUUAUUGAGGAAUUGAAUUCAUUAGCACAAAAUUUUGGAACGUAUAUAUACCUAUUGAACAGAAGAAUUAAUUAGUACGCAAUCACUUUAAGACGAAGAAGAAGAAGAAGAAGAAGAAAUCCCAUUAUCGUAGUUUGAAGGAUAUGGAGAUUGAAUUUGAAUGUUUAGGGAGUUAAAACGAUAGACGACACAUGAGUGGAAGUGUUGAAGUUUAAACAUUUGUGUAAAUAAGAAGGAAUAUUUCGUCAUCGCUGAAACUGGUAAUACAAAUCAACUGCGACGCAAUAUAACAUGUAUACAAUGUAAAUUCAAGUAAGGAAGAAAAAGGGAAAAUCAAAAUUGAAAGCCGUAAACAAUUACAAUGGAGACUCCAUAUUCCGGCAUUCAAUAUAGUCGGAGAUCCAAAAGAAGAAUUGGAGACAUAUAAAUAUAAUGAGAUAGAAGAGAGCAGAAAAAUUGCUAAUCAGAAUUGUUAUCUUCGGAAUCGUGUUCAGGAAUAGUAUCCAAGGAAGGAGAAUUGGAGGAUUUGGAAGGAGAAAUAAGAGGGGGAGGAGCGACCUCGAUCCAGGAGGUAAAAUUAGAGAGGGCCGGCUUUGCCAUGGAAGAGAGGGAUGUGGGUUUAGUAAUAGUGGAAAUGAGAGGAAGAAUGUUUGAGGAGAAAGAGGGAGUGAAGGUGGAUAUUUAUAGAGAGAGGAAUAGGAAAGAGCGGAGGAAGAAGAGGGUAAUGACUCCAAACACGCACACGAGAGAAAGAGAAUUCUUGUAUUUUAUUCUUUUAAUUUUGGGAGGGAAACGCGGAGAAAUUGUUUAGGAGCAUGUGAAAAAAAUCAAACAAAUAACUUGAAUAAUUGAGAGCCACCUAACACCUUCCUUCCUCGAACCUACCUUCACUCUUUGGAUUUUAUGUCACCUUCAUCACCCUUUUUCUUUUCCUAUUUUCUUUUAGAGUUAUUUGGGUUAAUGAGAUUGGGAUAUGGAACAAAAUGUUCAACAACUUCACGUGACACUCAUGGUGAAGACAUCCCACACACAUUUGGACGCUUGGGUGAGAGAAUGAAAGAACGUGAUAGUGACUCAGUUUUCUUCCACUUUUGGCUUAAUUUUCCCACGUUCGUAUUUGAUAACAUUUACAAGGAGAUACCUCUUGAUUUACACUUUAAAGAAAUAUAAUAAUACCAUUAACUUCUUAUUUUGCAGGUUUCAAUUUAAAAGGCAUCAUAAUUAUCCUAAAGAAACAUACUAAUUUUCCCUAAUUUUUUUAUCUCGGAAAGAGGAGAGAUGUAUUGCAAUUCAAGGAAAGUGAAAAUACAACGGGAAGUGCUGGAAAUUGUUACAUAUCCUUGAUAUUUAACCUCUGGUUAAACAUUAAAGUUACAUUUCUUUCCACAUGAAAUAUUAUUUGAUUAUACAAGAGCAUUUAGGUUUACAUCUUUAAACCGACAUUGAACAUUAUAAACAUAGAAAUUUAAGAACAUUCAAUUUGUUUGAGAUUAAUUCAAAUAUAUUUAUUGAGAACAGUUAGAGCGAUUUCAACAAUAAAUCCGAACGAGAAUGGGAUGUGUUGCUACAUGAAUAUUCCUAAUUUAGUAGGAGAGCAGUUCCUUGGUUCAUAACACUCGGGCUUAGUAUUGGUUCCUAACAUAGAUAAGACUACAAGCAUCAACUGAAACAACAGCUUCCAAAUUCAAAUGCAGUUCCUUGAACUAGAGAAUUCAGAUCCUUGAGGGUAUUUGAACCAAAUAAUUAGCUAUUAUAAUCAAUCCUGUGCUAUUAUAGUUUAAAUCUAAUAGUGAGUUUAAAAAGUGUAAACUAUUUUAGUUUGAAAAUAAAAUAGUAAACCUUAAAGAAGAUAAUAAUAACAAAUAGUUAAUGUAAAAUAGUAAAAACAAUAACAAACGUGGAUUUUGAAAUAAUGUUAGAAUACAAAAUCGCAUCAUCUAUUUGUAACAAGAGGCUAUUAUAGUCUAGGACAAUCCUUUCCCAAAAGACAUCCCAUUUGGGAAGACAAACUAUACAUGGUCAGUGUCUUCCUAAAAUACUACCAUGUAUAAUCAGUUUGAAACUAUGUCCAUUUUCCACCAAAUGACAAACCAAUCAAGUUAGUAGAAUUGUGUAACACAAUCAUGUACCCGAAAGUGGAAUCAACUUAUUGGGAAGGCACAUCAAAAUUUUAGUUUGGUGGUGGGUAACUUCAAAGUUAGUGUAAUCCAAAAGAUCACUUCCCUUACCCUUUUCGUUCAUGGCACUUUGUACAACUUUAUCAACAAAGAUAACAACCAAACAUCAGAGGCCACAUAAAGUACAGGAUUCAAGCAUCAAGCACAGCAAAAUAAUAGCUCCGUACUUCAGUAUAUAUCAAGAAGAAAUAAACCGGUUCAAAAUGGAUUUACCCACGAGGCUACUUUAUCAUCUUCGUGUUUGAGUUAUUUAAAUCUUCUAGUGUCAGGGCUUGAGGAAAAGAUAGUGUUUUCGCCCCCAAGGAUAUCUGAUGUACGGUUUGUUAGGACUUUUUUCGCAUCCUAGCUUUGAAAUUUUAUUUGAUUAGUUAUGUUCUUAGCCAGCUACUAUAUAAGCAACCAUCUUCAUUAGCUAAACCUAUACUUAGAGGCUAAGGCUCCCCUCUUUGGCUUCUAAACAACUUUAGAUCACUACUAAAAUAACGGGCCUAACAUCCAUGAGCUACAAGCAAUUUGAGAAUCUUAAUCAAUACAUUAUAUAUCAAUUUUUAGAGAUGUAUUUAGGGGAACUUUUAAAGGACAAUAAUUGGGCAGGGGAACAAAAGCUAUCCCAUGAACACUAAUUUGAGAAUCUUAAUCAAUACCUAAUAUCAAUUUUUUAUAUAAGAAUCUUCUUCAAUACCUAAAAUCAUAUCAAAUCACCAAUCCUAGAUAAAAAAAACAAACACUUUUUGUAUACACCCAUGAUACCAUUAUAAAAUUCAAGUUAGCAGAGUAGAAUAGAUAAGAUGACCCCAAAAGGGCCAAAACCCAGUUCUUACUUAACUAUUGAACAUCACAUAAUUUCAAGGCAAAGGUUGCAAAAGACCUGAUAUGCAGCCUAACACAGCCAAUAACAGAAAAACCGAAGUGAACAAAUAUGAUUCCAUGAAAUACAAGUUCAUGAUACGUCAUUGAAAUACCCCAUAAAGAUAAGUGCAAGCUAUUGUAGGCAAGUGAUAGAUAAAAAAAAUAAAUAAAUAAAAAAAAAACCUAACCAGAUAAUCUUCAUACAUUCCUUAAACCAAUGAUAGAGAAGAAAUAAAGCUUUGAUAUUCAUUGCAAUAAUCCAAUUCAGGCUUCUUUUAAAAAAAAACGACAAAAAACGCAGAUAAACAAGAGAGAAAUAGAGAAAAACCACCCUAAAACUUACGUUAAAUAGCAAAACUGAUAAAACAAGGAUGUAGAAGUAAAUUCAAUAUCCCUCAUUCUAAAGGAGUGGCCAAAGAAAGUUUUACUCUCAAUCUUGGGGGAUUUCAACAUCGCCAUCAGAAAUCUCCUGUUGAAGAUCCUUCGGGUCCUUGCCAUCGACAGUACAGCCAACAGACACACAAGUACCAAGAAUCUCCUUGACGGAGCCAGAGAGAUCCUUAGCCAUCGACCUGGGCCGCAUAACCCUAGCAAUCUCAAUCACAUCAUCAAGAGAAAUAUUCCCAUUAUGCUUGAUGUUCUUAGUUUUCUUCCUGUCACGUUCCGGCUCCUUCAAAGCCUUAAUUACCAAAGCCGCCGCAGAAGGAACAACGGAGACCUUCGCCUGACGAUUUUGGACGGUGAGCUUUACAGUAACCCUAAGACCUUUCCAUUCCUUGGCGGUCUCUUUAGCAAUGUCUUCUCCAAUCUUCUUAGGGGAAAGACCGAGAGGACCGAUCUUGGGAGCGAGAGAACUAGCGGCUCCGACCUCACCUCCGGUGACGCGAACGAAGACUUCAACGACCUGACUAGGGUCCAACUUCGGAGGCAUGAUUGGGCGGCGGGAAGGGAAGUGGAUUCGAGAGAUUCCACAGAAGGAAGAACAACCACAGCCACUAAUGAACUAAAAGAGAGCGGCGAAGAGAAAAUGAAGAGGCUUUCGGUUGAUUUAUGCUAGGGUUUUUCACAUGCCUUCGAGCUUCCACAACCGACGAUGUCUCGUCGGCCCAUUCUCUACUGGAAAUUAAAAACCCUAAUCCGUUUCUUUUGGACUUUUCCCACCAUGUCUCGGCCCAUUCAAAAUGGGCCUAAAUAGAUUUCUAAAAACAUUUUUGUGACUAAAAUUAUAUUUUUACCUUUUGUAAAAAGUAAAUAAGAACAAAGUUAAUUUACAUAAUUGUAAUCAAAUCCAAAAAUAUUUACGUUAGUGGUUAGUGUAGUAAUGAAAAAUUCCAUCAACGCAAUAAAAUAUUUUUAUAAUUUUCAAAUUUUCGAUUUACUCAUAUUUAAAAUUUAUGCAUCUUCUAUUCCAUAUUUUCAUUCUUAUAUUUUUAAAUGAUUUAUUUUACUGUUUAAAUCUCGUAUCUCAUGUUCACCAUAUACAGCAACAAAAUUUAUGAAGCUACUUCAUCUUUCUCGUAUUUGAGAAUAUCAAAAUCGUUUAAAUAACAUUUUGACUUGAUCUAAACAAUCGUUUACCAUAGUUAACUCGAUCUUUAGCAUGAUCAUCAUGAUCAUUUGAUUUGAUGUUUUUAACUAUCAUUUAUGUUAGACUAUAUGGUUGCUUACUAUAAUCAACACAAUCGUUUUUCAUUAUAAACUCGUUCAAAUUCAAAGCUUUUUUUCAAUUGUUAAAAAGAACUACACACAAUCGUGUAUGACCUAAACAAUAGUAGAUAUGAGUACACGAUCAUUUGGACGAAAUUUACUCUCACGCGUUGGCUGAUUAAUCGUGUGUUGACUAAAACAAUUUUUGUAUUUUUUAGUGUGACCCUUGUGGCGUUUUCCGUCCUCAAAAUUGUUUUAGUAUAAAUAUUUUGCCCGUUUUAAAAAAAAAAAAUCCACCAAAAGUUAUUAAUUCAAAUUUCAACUUUCACAUGCCGUGAGAAAACAUAAUUAUUUUGUAAGGAAAAGACAACCAGUAAUCUUUAUUUUAUAUAUAAUAUAUAUAAUUGUAACAAUCAUAAUUUAGAUUUAGAUGCAUUUUUAAUAUGUAAACUAAUUACUUAAUUUAGCUUAUUGUUUUUGUCAAUUGGGUUGAGACUUGAGAUAUUUUAAUGGGAAAAAAAAUAUAUGAACUAACACUCAUAGAUUGCUAUUGCUAUUGCUAUCCCAAUUAUUAUAUAGACAAUUUAAAUAAAUAAAAAAAAUCAAACUUUCUUAUAUUUAGCAAAUUUAAUUGGUCCGUCAUGAGAUUUAUGUAUAAUGAUAAGAAAUCAAACGUCACUAAUUAUCAAAUUAUCUCUCUUAAUCAUUGGUGAAGAGUUGACGCAAACCACAUAAUCCUUGAAAGAAAUAGCAAACUUGAAAAAACUUGAAAGUGACUUUAUUCAAUUUAAUCAUAAAAUAAUCUCUAAUCCACAAUUUUAUUACAUUUAUGUUGAUAAUUGAAGCUUCUCGAAAUGUCUUUCAUGUCCUUGUUAACGAGUAACAAAUAUUUUAUAUAUCAAAUUUCAUGUAUAGUUGACAUAAAAUAUAUACCAAUAAUUUUAAUUAAAGAUUCAUGAGUUUUGAUAUUCAUAAGUUCCAAACAUUUAAACAACAAUGGGACUUUAAUGAAAGUCUAAAGGCAACAAAGAUAUCAAAUUGGUGUUUGUGACGAAAAUUUACUUUAAAUAUGAAAACAAUACCAAAGUCGUAUAGAAAUAUCCAAAAAAAUGUAGAAGAUAUACUUUAAGUUCCUAAGACUUCAGGUUUGAACUUAAUGUGUACCUAUUUAGUACGUGCAAGUUUUAAAAUUUGAAUUAGGUUAGAAAUUUGGUUUUGUCUUGACCUAACUCACACCGUGUUACCAUUAGUUGACUAAUGAAAUGGAUGAUGUGGCAUGAUUGAAAUUGCAUUUUUUUUUUUUUAAUGAUGUAGCCCUUUUUUUAAUUAAUUUUAUAGUAGCAUUUGUAAUCAUUCUAAAUAAUAUAAAAUUGUAAAGUAAUUAAAAAUGAUACCGUAAGAAAGACAAGCUUACAAAUAAUUAAUCAUAAUAGUUUAUGAAUAAUUGAACGCAAUUUUCUAUUAGUUAAUAAAUACACUAACAAACAGAUAUAUAACAUAAUAUUUAAAAUAACAUUUGUUGCAAAAUAUAUAUAUUCAACAUGAAAAUCUCUUUUUUUUUUAUUUUUAAUUUCUCACAUCACUAUAAACACACUCAAAAAUAACCAAUAAACAACAAAAUAAGAGGAAGAGUUUCAAUUCUAUUUGGUAACUAUCUUUUUUUUUUUUUCUUUUCAAAGUUAAAAUUUAAAAUCUACCGGUUGACAAAUAAUUUUCUAAGUUUUUUUUUUUUCCAAACUUUGACUAAACUCCAGAAGCAUACUAAUAACUUAAAAAAAGACUAUAUAUAUGUGUAGAUAAGAGAUCAAAUUUGUAGUGUAUGUCAAUUACAUGGGUACAGAAAAAGUUUAAAAAUAUAUAUUAAGUAGAUGAUAGCUUGAUUGAGAUUAGACAAGAGUACAAGAAACAAACACUUGCCUUUUAGACGUUCAUAUAUAUCCAAAGUGUAAAGAGAAAGGUGAGUAUUACUAUUACAUCAAAUAGUAUUGCAUUGCAAAAUAGGUCAAAUCGGAGAAAAAUAAAAAGUCAUGUUUUUUUUUUAAAAAAGCAUUGAUUUAUUAUGAAGAUUUCACCACAAUUAUAUCUAUCACACAUGGUUUGUUCCUAUAUGAUUGCAACCAUCCCUAAUUUUAAAAGAUAAUGUAGGCUUUUAAAAAAAAUGAUGCAUGAAGAAUCUUAUCAUAAUAAAAUAUUUCUUCUUGUUUGCAUCAAAAGUAGGAAAGUGUAACAGUUAUGGACAAUAAUUGUGCAUGGAGUUAUAUAUAUAUACAUAUAUAUUACAAUGUCUAUAUUAGAUGUUUUUGUUUUAAUCUUAAAGGCUUGUGAAAUUUGGUGGGAAGAUAAUGAUGCAUUUAUGUUGUUUGAAUUUUGAAAUUUAUUUAUUUAUUAUAAACAAAAUUGUGGCCUAAAGUUUUAUUCAGUCCACAUAUGUUACAAUUUUACCUUGGAAAGAAAGAAAAUUAAAUUAUAUAUAUAAUGAUCAAUCCUUUUCCUAUUUAACGCUAAAACCAAAAUCAUAAUUGUCAUUAAAUAAGUUGUUUAUUAUCUUCCCUUCAUUUAUUUAAAUAAUGGGAACAUGUUAUGUUAGUACUUAGUCCCCAUUUAUAAUUUCAAAGUACUCUUAAGGUCUUCUAAUCAAACAAUAAUAAUUUAAAACUAUAGAUAAACAUUACAAAUAUUGAAAAAGUAAAUAUGUCAAAGAUAUAUAUAUUUACCAAAAAUAAAAAUCUACAUACAAUGUUGGACUAUUGUUUUUAGAUGAAUAAUCGAAUAAAUAUAUUUUGUUACUUACUUUAUUAUAUUUGGUUAAUUUCAAAUCAACUGUCCCUCUUAAACUAAAACUGCCGAAUUCGUAUAAGAAAUUUUAAAAGGACAGAGACAAAUUAAAAGCACUUCUGCAACACAGACUUCUAAAGUAAUUUAAAUAUAGGAAAAUUACAUUAUGAAAAUGGUCCCUAAAAUUAUUAAAUUUUUAGUAAAAGAAUUUGAACCUUAUCAAGUUAUCCAUUCCGCAUGAUAGUUGGAAGUUGUGAAAGAAAAAUACCAUAAAUAAAAUAUAAAUUUUGUUUAAAUAAACAAAUAAAAUACUUCUAAAAUUGGUUAUCAAAAACAAAAAUAUUUAGUGUCCAUGUCACAAAUGAAAGAAUUUGAUAGAAUUUACCGUUUAAAAAAGUUUUCAGUUUUGUAUUUCCUUAACCUCUCUUAAGCGAUCCUUUUUUUAUUGUGCGCUGAUUUUAAAGAUUUUAAAAACAAUAAUUCAAAUCUAAAUGAUUGUAUAUGAAAUAAUAGUGAAAGAAAAAUUUAUUUUUGAAACCACUCCAUUAAUCAUAUAACAUUUUUAAAAUUUUCACUCUACACUUGUAGACUUUUUUUAUACUAUUUAAAUAUUUUGAGAAUUUGUUUUAAUUUUUUUUAAAAGGCCCCCUAAAAUUAAUAAAUUAUCCAACCUUGAAAAUGUCACAUUUUACACAUAAAAGGAAAGCUCAAUGAAAUAGAUAAAAUGGCAGUAAAAGUACGGUACUGUUCUAUUUCUUCACGUAUAUUACUUUUUGGUACACCUGUGCUCUCUCCCUUCACCACCGCCGUCAGAUGUUUGAAUUAAAUUCAACUAAACUAAGUUUGAAUGUACUGGAUCUGAACACGUCAUCCAUUGUAUGAAUCUUUUGUGGACGGCAGUGAGUCACGAUGAAAACGCGCUCGUCCUUGUUUGUUGUAGAUUUUUCAUACGCUACUUGUCAUGUCCACAAUUUUUUGGUUACGUAAACAUAUAGUUUUGUUUUUGUUUAUUUUUGGAGCCUAAACUUUAGAGUUUAUAAAAUUCAUGUAUAUUAAAAUGUAGUGUGUUAUGUUAAUCAUUAACAAAAAAAUUCAGUAAUUGUAGUAUCAUCAUUUUUUUAAUGGAACAAAGUGUGAGUUUUAAUUAAAAGUGAAAUUAUAAUCGAAUCGACUUGAAUUUCUUUUUAAAAAGAAAUUGUGUAUUUAGUAUCACACUCCUUAAGUUAUAAGAUUAUAAUGUUUAUAUAUAUAUAUAUAUAUAUAUAUAUAUAUAACUAUAAAUAUAAAUAGUAUUUACAAGCCUAAUUUCCUAGAACCCAUUGUACAAAAUCAUCUUGUGUCAAAUUGGCCCUAAAGUAUUAUUUAGAGACCUACUAUUCCCACAAGCUAAACUCCAAUACCAUUUUGACAAAUUUGUAGGGAUAAAGCGUCAUUUUUGUAUCUAUAUUUACAAAAAUGAUUUUAAAUCAAACAAAAUUAUUCAUAAAAUAAAAAUUGACAAAAUAUUUGCACUUAUUAAUUUUUUAGUAGUUUUCUAUGAAAGGUAGAUAGCACUCUUAUAUUUUUAAUAAAAUUUAAAUUUAAUCUUCUAAAAUCAAUUAAAGAAUAAUAAUAAACUGUACCAAUUAAAUCAACAUUACAUCUUUCUAGGUUUAUAGAUUAAAUAUAUGUUAGGUUUUUUUUCAAAAUAAUAAAAUAACAUAUGAAUAAUUUUUUAAAAUAAAAAAACUUAUAAACUAUUCACAACCCAUAACGAAAGUAAAUUUUCUUUUAUUUAUGUAAAAUUUUCAAAGUACAAACUAUUUAAAAUUCAUUAAUUUUAUUUUGUCCUAUGUAUAAAUAGUUUGUUCAAUUUUUUAGAAUUUCUGUUGAAGGGAAGAAAUUUGGAAGUAAUGUAACAAAUAUUUCUAAUAAAAAAAAUCAUAACGUGUGGGAUCCCACAAAUUGUAGUGGUUGUAGGGAGAGAGAGUUUGUAGAGGAUAAUAUCCUUUAAUAUUUUUGUUUAUUUUAUAUUUUCUCAACCAUUUUAUUAGAAUCCGAAAUGAUUGGUACACGUGUUGACAUAUUAUUAAUUGCAUUUCAAAAUUCGUCGUUAUCUUCUAUUACACCAAUCAUGCGAUGCAGGAGAGCGAUGGCAUUCAAAUUACUAAAAUAUAUGUAUUUUCUUAUAAUAUUGUCCGACGUGUCGGACCCUAACCUCUUCUUCUAAACUUCCACAGGAUAUUGCUCUUCUGUCGUAUCGGAUCGUACGUGUCGUCUGCUGUAAAUUCGGGAUUUUACUACCAUUACUUCUCACGUGCACUUCCCAUUUUCUAUUCAAACAUAAUUCAAUUACUUUCUCUUUUUUCAAACAUCAUAAACAAUUAACCAAUAUUCUUUUUAUAAGUUUACUUCACUCUAAAUUUUACAGAUAUAUAAUACCUUCAAAGUUACUUGUUCCACUUCACUUACUAAAUUAGCUUCAUUCAAUUAAUCAUGACAACUACAUGAUGCACACUUUUUUGUUUCAAAAAGUAAACGGACAACAACUACAGAAAAAAACGACAAACGUAUUUAAUCGCGACAAAAAGAACUAUUGACUCUAUCUAAACUACAUAAUAUAUAAUAUUGAACAUGUGUAAUUGAUUUAAAUCAAAAUUUAUUAUUUUUUAAAUUUGUUAUUUUUGUAAUUUUGAAAAAAUAGUGAGCGGUAGAGUAGAUUGAAAAUGAGAGGAAAGGAAAGGAAGGAGAGACAUUGUAGGGAUAAAUUUGUAAUUUGAAGAUAUUAGACGACAAAAGUUAUUAAAGAAAGCUAAGAAAAUGGUAAAAGGGGUUAAAGGGAAAUGGGUGUGAGAAUCAAACGGCGAGUGCACGGUAAAACCGUGGGGGAGUUGUGUAUUAUAGAAUUGUCUCAUUGUAUUUUUGUUAUAAUUAUUUUAUUUGAAUAUAAUUGAACUUUAAAAUGUUCGUACGCCGGGCGAAGAGAGAACGGGGGGGAGAAGCGUGAACUUAUCCAUUAAAACCAUUAUAAAAAUGGUGGGCCAAAACUCUAAAUAAUUUCACACUUUGAUUCCUUCAGAGCAGUUGAAAUUCAAUUCCAUUCAAUCACAAACAACAACAACAACAACAAGAUCUGAACCUCCAAAUCAUCCAUCGAUUUUUCAAUGGCGUCAAGGAGAGGCGGCUUAGGAUUCGGCUUCGGUUUUCACUCCAAACCCAACUACAUCUAUCCGGCGUCGGACUCACUUCGCUGUUCUGAAUCAUCUACCGAUAAUAACCUCUUUGAAUUCGACGAAUCGGAUAUUUGGACAUCCGCUACUACUACUGCUCCAACUCCCCCGAUGGAAUCGAGAAAGAUCUUUCCGAUCUCCAAGAAACUUCCCAAGAGGAGUGGCUCUGCUGCCACAGCGGUGGAGAAGGCGGUGAAGGCGUCUUCGUCAUUGCCGGUCAACAUUCCGGAUUGGUCGAAGAUUCUGCAGAAGGAUCAGAACAAGCACGGGCGGAGAGCGGUGGCGGACGAGGAUUUUGAUGAUAGUGACGACGGGGAUGACGACGACAUUCGACGGGCACCGCCGCAUGAGUAUUUGGCCAGACGGCGAGGUGAUUCGUUUUCGGUUCAUGAAGGGAUCGGAAGAACGCUGAAGGGAAGGGAUUUGAGAAUGGUGAGAAAUGCAAUUUGGAAAAAAACUGGGUUCGAAGAUUAAUUUUAAAUUAAUUUUUAGCUAGCCAAAAAAAAAAAUUACCAUAUAAUCAGUUCCGGAAACCAUACUUAGAAUAAUGAUUAGAGAAUUUUGAUGAAGUAAAUUAAUGUAAUUUCCCCUAAAUUUUCCCAAUUUUCUUCUCUCUCUCUUUUUGAUUCAAAAUGUUAUUGUGAUCAUUAUCUGUAUCAGAAACAGUGAUUUUUUGUAAUUAAUUUUAAUUCUGUAAACUUCAAUUAAAUAACAUUUUUUUCUGAUUAGUGCUUAAAUUCCCUAAACUUAACGAUUAAGCAACCGCCCAAAUCAAACAUAGUUCAAGAACAGAUAAUCACGUUAGGUUAAAUUCUUCAUUUUCAUUAUAAUAAUUAAGAAAAACAACUCGUUUGGCAUGAAAUUAUAAAUAUUAAAGCAAUUAAAAUGGUUAGCAUUUCUUGAGUCUAUAAAAAAAUAAAAGUAGAGUGAUUAAAAUUAAAAAUAAUAAUUGAAAGAAAAAAGAAAAGGAAAAAACUGAUUGAAAUGGUAGUAGGUGAAGAAAGCUAUAGACAAGCUAGAGCAAUCUUUGGAAAAAAGAAUUCAUAUGUUUACUUGCUUCCCCAAUCAAGCUAUCAUUUACCAUUAAAAAAAAAGAUCUAUACUUUUUUUAAAAAAUUAAAAAUGGAUUACCAUUAGAAUAUAUAUAUAUAUAUAAUGGUUUUUUUUUCUCAGUAUAUACAUCAAAUUAGACAAUAACCUAUUAAAUAUUUUAAAUUAAAAUUUGUUAUCUUCAAGUGAUAAUAACUCUAUUAUUAUUUUUUUUAUUUUAUUUUUUUUGCUAGCAAACCGUUCUCAAUUAUAAUGGAUUUAUUUAUAGGGUUAAUAUAAAGGUAGUAUUUUUAUAAAUAAUAAUUAAGUAUAUAACAAUAUUUAAAAAAUAAUUAUAAAUAUAACAAAAUUUAUCAUUCAUAUAGAUUUAUCGGUGGUAAAUUUAUAUUAAACUUUGACAGAUUUUGUUAUAUUCAUAAUUUGUUUAAAUUAUUGUCAUAUAAGUUAAUAUGUUGGGUUUAAUUGGUGUAGUUGUAACGAACAGUGACAUAGUGAUAUUUUAAUGAUAAAAGAAAAAAGAAAAUUAUAAAUAUGUUUUUAUUAAAAAUCAAACUAAAAUUUGAAAAGUGGCGAACAUGUAUUGGUGAAAGGAAAAAGGAGCGGGUGUUUUUGGGAAGUUCUUGAGUUGAUUUACUUUUGGUUAUAAUGCUCUAAAAUUCUAUGUGGCUUAUCCACCUUACCUUGAUAGGGACGUUAUGGCAAUAUUUUUCUCUCUAUCUUCUGCUUCUUUUGUUCAUUAAUAUUAAUUAAUUCAAAUAUACUUAUUUAUUUAUUUUGCUUUCAAUUGUCAUUAUCAAGGAAGAGAUGGAAAAAGAAAAAGGAAAAAAAACAACAUUAGAUUUUUUUUGAGGUCCAAAUUAAAAUUUUAGAUUUAUGUGUGAGUUGAUCAUGAUGUUAACAAUCUUUCUUUAAUUGAGUUAAAAAAAAGUGUUAAAGUUUAAUGCUUCUAUUUAACUUUAUUUAUUUUUCCACAGAAUAAUAUGCUUUUUUUUUUAAUCUUUUGAAAAGCAUUUUUUAUUUCUAAUAAUAAGUUGUUUAGUUCAUAAAGUAUUAGAUGACUAUAGUUAUACAAACAAAUAUGCUCAUCAUCUUUUUUUAUGAAGUAUGUGUAAAUAAAAUGUUUGAAAUAUAAGUUAUUAACGGUUUUCUUUCAACGUUGCUCAUGGUUUUAUAAAUAAAUUAACUAAUAGUAGUUUAACACAACAAUGUAAAACUCGAACUUGAGUUUAAAGGGGAGGGUUAUCAUUGUAACUCAGUUAUCUUCUAAGAAGUUUGUAAUUUUAAUCUUGUAUCUUUAUUAGAUUGGAGUGUAAUUAAAAUAAGUGAGAUUUUUGUUUUUAUUUUUAAUAAUGAUAAAGAUAAAAUUAUUAGAGAGUAAUUGAAUUAGAAUUAUUUAAUGGUCAUUAAAGAUUAGAAGUAGGUGUUUUUAAUGUUAACAAAUGGGAAGAAGGGGAAGGAAAGAAAAAAAACUAAUUAUAGAAAGAGGAAUUUAUAUUAUCCAACGGCGCUGCUUGGUUUCUUCCAACCUUCUCCCUACUUCCCCAACUACCUUCUAUUUCGUAACGGGAUAAUGUCAACAUUUUUAAUUUAACUUCAUUUCAUAUUUAUUGUACAGUGUCUAAAUUGGAUAAGAUCAUUUAUAUAUUAAUAUACAUUGUUAUAAUUUAUAUAUUUCAUUUUUUGAUUCUCUAAUUCUUCUUGGUAUGAAAUUGAAUUGUUGUGAUGAUAUUGAUGUUAAUGACGAUGAUGCGUUAACAAUUGUAAAAUCCACGAUAGAUAAAUAUUAAACAAACAAACAUACUAUAAAUUAAAUGGGAUGACAUUCAAUAAAUUAAUAUAAUUUUUUAAAAAACAAGGACAAAGAAAUUAAUUUUCUUAAAAAUAAUAAUAUUAAUAAAAAGUUGAGUUAUAAUUUAUGUAAAGGGUAGUUAACGAAAGUUUAAAAUUGAUGAAAUCAAACCAUUUAGUAAAUGGGUAAACAUUAUCAAAUUUGUGACGGUUUCAUCAAUUAACUUUAUUUUGACAUUUUAAAUAAAAAAAAUCAAAUUUUAUUUCUUAGGCUAAGUUUUAAUUUUAUUUUUUACUUUUUUGUAUGCAAGUAAAAAAAAAAUGUUAGCCACCAAAUAAUAAUAUAAGUUGGACCGAUUUUAUCCUUUCAAUCUUCUAAUUACAUGGUUUUGUUUAAUUGGUAAUAAAUUUGUAAUUAAUUUUGAGGGAUAAUCACUCCCACCUUUAAGUAAAAAUAAAAGAGAAAUAAAAGUCAAAAGCUAAAAAGUCAUUUUCAUAUCUAGCAUGGAAAAUAGAAAAAGUGGUUUGGAAGAUAACAAAAAGUAAAUUAUCAUUUUGGUUCAUUUUCUUUAGCUAUCUUUUAACCCAAUUUAAAUUGACGUGCGAUUUUCGAUCAGGUGAAUUUCAUCUUUAACUGGUAUUGGUGUGUAACAUAGGGUUACGUAACUCUGUGAAAUUAUUUUCUAUCAAAGUUUAAAUGUACAUACAAAAUUUAAAAGUUUAAGUUGUUACACUAAUACUAAUACACACCAGUAGUUCUAAAUAAUAGAAUCUUAAGGUUUAGAAGUGUAACAUUUUUUCUAUUACGUGUCAAACUAACUGGUAACAUUAACCCUUUUUUUUCACUAUUUUUGUCGUUAUUUAUUAAAACAAUACAUUUCUUUUAUAUUUUACUAACAUAUGUGUAUUUCCUUUUUAACACAUACAUAUAUAUAUAUAUAUAUAUAUAUAUAUAUUUUUGCAUUUACAUAGCAAUUCCUUUUUCAUUCAAUUUAAAUAUUGUGUUUCAUAUUUAAUAAAAUAAAUGUUUUUUUUUUAGAAAAAAACUAUUUUCUAAUUUAUUAAAUACACUAGUAAAAAAAACCAUCUUUAAAAAUAUUACACAUUCAAGGAUUCUCAUUUUUCUUUUUGAAUCUAAUUUUUUUUAGUUAUUUUCCCACUUGCAUCUUGAUAAAUUUUUAUAUUCAAUAUAGGCUUAAAUCAACAAUUUCACCCUUAUCUUGCCAAUUUUCUAAAAUAAAAAAAAAAUCAAUUUCAAAGGUUCAUUUAAACGUUUAAAAUGUUGGUUUAAUUCUUAGAAUUUCCAUAUUUGUUUGUUUUGUUUUUAUUUAAUGAUUACUUGAUAUGAAUUUUUUAAGGAAGAUGAUUAAAAAGUCAUAGAUUAAAGUGAUUAAUUUUGUUUGGAAAGUUGGGUAAAAAUAAGAUUAAAUAUGGAUGGAGGGCGUGACUUUGAAACCUAAUAAUUAUGUUGAACAUAUUUGCAUAAUGUAAAGAGAGUUGAGCGAUGAGGUUGAUUCAAUUGUUCUUACUGUCGUGUGUGUCCGUGAAAUUAGGCACAAAAGUGAUCCAUGAUUGGUAGCAGGCAGAAUAUUAGUCUUGUAGUGGAAUAACAUAUUCUUCUCCCGAAUAACAAUCCACAUUGAGAUUUGGAAAUGUGAAAGAAAAAGGCAUCCAAACACUCCAAAACCAAAAAGUGGAAAAUAAAGAAGGGAUCAUUCCAAUGGUGGGAUUGUGAAUACUAUCCAAAUAAAAAGAAAGAAUAAAUAUGGAUUCCAUAAAUCCACAUUUUUUUAUUAAAACCCCUCCUCACAUCUUCACUGCAUCUUACUCAGUUUGUAUUCUGAGAGAGUAUUGGAUCAAAGUUACCAUUGAUGGAACGGAGUCCAUUUUUUCUUUUAACAAAAUCAAUCUUAGUUGAUUUGAUAAAAUGUCAAACCAACCUCGAUAUCGAUGAGUAAAAGUUGCUAAUCGGUUUAAUACUUAAAAUUGCUUUUUGAAACUAAUCCUGACCCCUCUCGUUUUUCGAGUGAGUUGGUUGAUUUAACAGUUGAAAAUACUUUUUGAAAAAUUCUCGAUUUGAAGCUUUUUGAAACUGACCCUUAUUGAAUUCUCUCGUUUUUCGAUUGAUCGACUUCAGUUUGUCUAUCAUGCUAAUUUCUACAUGUAUGCAUACCAAUUGAGUUAUGUCCGUCUUGUCUACUGCAUGUGAGUUAAGGCUUUAUAAAUAUUUUUAAAAAAUGUAAAAAGAUAAAGAUUACUAAUCGAUAAUAUCAUUAAUUGAAAAAAAAUUAAUGUGAACAUAACUCAAUUGAAAUUAACUUGUACAUAUUAUCAAUUUUCAAAUAUAAGGUGAUUCAAUCUCCUAUCUUGUAUAUUGCCAAACAAAAUAUUGACAAAAAAAUGAUGAAGUUAAAUUCGUUGCAUUCCACGAUUACAUUUUAUUACGAGAUAAUAUAUUGACAAACACAUCGCUAUAAUGUAGUUAUAUUUAUGUAAAUAAAAUCGUUGUAAAAAGCACGUUAAAUCAAUAAUUGAGUUGUUUUUACUUCAAAUACCAAACCAAACAAUAUAUUUUGUUACUUGGGAUUUAGAUUGUGGGUGCAUUUUUUUAUUCUUCAUGUUUUAUGUGUAUUUAUAAAUUUAAGAUAUUGAUGUCGAACAUUUCGAUUCAUAGAUAUAGUGGAAGAUAUUUUAAUUUGUGAACCUACAUAGUAAUACAAGAGGUAGUGAGCAAAGAUUGACGAGUGAAUAGGACAUUUCACUGUUGUCUUUGAUAAUUUUCACAUGUGAAUACAAAGACACCUAGUCAUAUUCCUCACAUGUUUUUUAAAUAGUUUAUUAAUUAAGUUUCGUGUAUUUUAAGUGGUUGUCAAAAAUUGAAAUUGGAAGUAUGUUAUAAGUCACAUCAUGAGACAUAAACUUUAUGAAUAAGAAGAUAAAGUUAAAUUAGUCGGUUGGAGAUAAUUUAGUACUUACAUUUACUUCAUAUAUGUUCCGUAGUUUUCAAAAAAUGAAAUUGGAUGUAUAUUACAAGUCACAUAAUCAUAUAAAAUUUACGAGUACGAAAGUACAAAUGAAUUAAUCGGUUCAAAUAUUAUACGUACAUACAUGACAUUUUUUAUAAGAAUUCACUCUCAUAUGUUUAUAGUAAAUCACACACGGAUGGUUUUAGUUUUGUGUCACAUUAGUCUUUAGAUUUAAAAAUUGAACAAUUAAUUAAGUCUGGAAAAGAAUUGGUUUUAGUAAUUCGAUCAAGGUUUUAGUAAUUCGAUCAAUGUAACUUGUUAAGUAGUUAACGUUGUACCAACCAAUUAAGUAAGUCUUCAAUAUUUUAUUUUAGCAAGUCUUAUAUGUAUUGAAGGACAAGAGGUCUCUACCACCGAUCCUUUAUACCUAAUAGGAUUAUUUGAAAAUUGGAUGAUUAAAAAAUGUGUAGACGGUUACAAUAUUGAGAUUAUUUGGGCCAAAUGGGCCGAGAAAAAUUGUCUGGUGCAGAGAUAUUGGGCCCAAUUAAUCGCAACGGGCUAACCGCGCUAGAGUUGUUGUCAACAGUGAGAAGUUUCUUCCGACCUCCAACCUCGAGAUUGUCGCCGUCGAUUUCAUCGGCCAUUGACUAACAGGGAAAUAUGGGCAGUGAUCGGAAGCGAAUCUUGAUAGGUUUGACGGUGGCGAUGUUCUUAGGAUUGGUGGUGUACAUGAAGCUUUGGACCAUCGACUAUUCCAUGUCUGCCGAUGAAGCCGAACUUCUCAGGUUUGGAUUUUCCAUUUUUUGUUCGUUUUUCUCGUUUUGUUGCGAAAAUUUGUCUGAAAUUUUAGGAAAUGGUACCGUCUUCUCUUAAUUCGUGUUGUCGGAACUUCGUAAUGUAAAAUUCACUGAGAUUAUCGGUUAGCUUUAAUUUAAUCGUUUAUGGAUCAUUCAGACGGCAGUUCGAUCUUGCAAACCGGGAGGCAAUGGAUGAAUCUGCGGAAUGGCGUCGUAUGUACGAUAACGAACUAGAUAGAGCUAAUAGAUGUAAAAGUGAACUAAACCAGGUCAGUACUUUAGGGUUAAGUUGCCAAGAAAAUUGAUGAAUUCAAUAGAGUUUCUUUCUCAUUGCAUUGAUUCAGCGGAAUGGUUUUAUUAAAAUUGAUGCAAUUACUUCUCUGAAACCGGUUGUUUAAUGGGCGCAUGCUUGAAUUUUGUUCAUCUUGUUGCUGCUCCUAUGAUUUACGGCUUUCCAAUCAAACAAUUCAUAACGUCUUGCAUUGUCAACCGGAAAAAAAAAAAACUUGUUUGACGCUGAAUAUGAGAAAUGCUUGUGUAUUGAACAAGAGCCCAGUUCUUGGCAGCAUGAACUUUGAAAUAUUUCUCACAUAGUUGAUCUCUUAUCAGUAGUAAGAUGCUGUUUUGAAAGUAACUGGUUUAAUUUUAGCUUAUGCUUUUGGGUUUGAGAUAAUUUAACAUGAUAUUAGAUCAUUUAGUAUUCAAACAUGGCAAUGUGAUUUCCUUUUCAAUUACUAUUGACAUCACUUGUUUGAUCAACAUAAUCUUGAAAUCUACAAGUGAGAGGAAUAUUAGGAAGACAUAAAGCUUCGUGCGGUAACUAUUUAAUUUUGGAUUUUAGUCUUUGAAAAUUAAGUGUAUAAACAUUCAUUCCACCUCUAAAUUACUUUCUUAUUUACUUUAUACCUAUGAAAAUUUUUGAAGACUAAAGUAAAGAACUAUGGUAGGAAAUUGAGAGGAAAUAAGAUUGAUUUCCAAAAACUAAACAAAAAGCCAAAUUCAAAUGGUUAUUAAAGGGGUCAAAACACUUGAAUUUAACACCAUGAGGCUGUAAGUUGCUUGUACAUUUUUGUAUUUGACCAAUGAUUGUGUACAAUUCUACUUAGCAGCUUAAGGUAUCGUUUGAGAAGGUGGGGGAUGCUGCUAAAAUCAAUGAGAAGCUAACAAAGACGCAAGAGGUAAUCCCUUUGAUGUUAACUAAUUAAUGAGUUGUUCCAAAAAAUUUUGAAAAUGAUUUCAGAACUAAAAUUUUGUCCCACAUCUUUUAUCUCUCAAACAUGUCUAAAAAUUUCAGGAAAACUUUGCUCUCCGCACACAAGUGGAUGCUUUACAGCGAAGGCUAGAGGCCGAGAAGUCAAGAUGUGGCUCUCAAUAAAGCUAAUCAACAGACACAGAAGCGAAAAGGGUACAUACUAACAUUGUUUUUGAAUUGUAAAACGUCUAUCACAGAGGUUGCUUGGCUAUGGCUGGUGAUGGGAAGUACUAAACCAAAUUGAUAAAACUAAUGAAGGUCGGUCACUCCAGGUUGUGGUUUUUAUAGGUUUCUCUAUUCUCUUUGUCGUCUGGAGUUUGUAGGAAAAGAGAUUGUUGUGGAAUCGUCGCGAGAUCAUCAACUCGACUUUCGCUUCUGAGGAUUCUACUGGCAUCGGAAUGACAAAUGUGGAUAGCUACAAUCAAAGCAGUAACUAAAAGGCAAAAGCACCAUGGGGGAGCUUCUCCUUCAUGAAUCCAGAGUAUGUAAAAGUUUAGGUGUAGAAAAAUUUUAGAAUUUGGAACCUAGGGUUUUACUCUUUUCUUCUCCCCUUGCAAUUCAUACGAUUCAAAGAGUUAAUUUGAAUUGGUGUUGUGGCCUCAAAAUUGAUAGUAUAAAAUUACAAAUACUACAUUAGUUUAGUUUAGUUGAGUUACUCAUUAAAUAUAUUAAUUAAUUAAUUGGUUCUAAGCAUCAUUUAUUUUCCAAAAUGUAUAAAAAACUUAAACGAAAUGAUUCUUAUUUGUUAAACCAUUCAAUGACAUAUCAUUGUUAAAAAGGGUUUCGCAAGAUCAUAGAAGUUUAAUUUGUGUUUGAACUUAUAUAAGAUUUCUACGUUCAAUUUCAAUGCAAGGAGUAAAUCUAUAUAUUCAUUUUAUCGUAGAAAAAUUCACAAAAUAAACAUAAAAGGUAGCUAACAUAUUUAUAAUAUAAAUUAUAGAUACAUUUACUUAUUUGAAAAUUUUAAAAAAAUGUUUAUUUACUAACUUUCUAAAAGAAAUUUGUAAAAAACAAAACACUUGACCAGUAAUAAAUUUGGUGUUAAUAAUUUGUCCAAUUUUUCUAUUUUGAAAAAUCCUCUAAUUUAAACUUAUUUUUUAAAUUAAUUUUUGUUCAGACGUAUACCUAAUAGAUAUAAUUUUUUUCAGAAAUAUCUAUAGAAUAUAUUUUAUAGAAAAUUUCUUUAAAAUUAAGACAUCAAGCUAUAGAACUAAAUGAGUGAGAUUAAUUACAAAAUUGCAUAUUGAAAUAUAAACAUAGGAAGAAGUGGUUGAAUAAUAAUAUUUAAGAUAGUUAUGGAUAUUAAUCUAAAAAUAGUAUGUUUAGAACAAGAAAAAGACAUUAACCAACAAUUGUAUUGUACUACUUCCUUCCAAUCGUUUCUCCCUCGUUUUCUUAUAUGCUUACAAACUUUGAAACAGAAUGGAGGGAGAGUCGGUGUUUUAUUUACAAACUUUGCUUGUUAUCUAAAUAAAAUAUCCACAAAAAUUACAUCAUUACUUUUCACCUUUGGACAGAAUUUGGAAUUUGAAAGGGUGUAUCAACCAUCUAAAAUGAAAACUUGAAUAUCCACUUCGUUUCAGUUCACCUCGCAUUGAAACAUGAAGAAUAAUGAAUAUUAUAUCAACAAAAGAAAUGAGAUGCACAAAAUGAUAGAUAAAUGUUACUCGAUCUAUGUAGUAUUUUGUUUCACUUUUUUUUUUAUAAAGGACAAAAGGGACCUAUUUUACAUUUGAAGAAACAACAAAAUGGCAAUAUGAUUUGAUAUAAUAAAAAUAAAUAAAAAGAAUAAAGAAAAAUAUUUUAGUUGAUUGUUCAUGAUGAUGAUGUGUUGUAAAUGUGAAUGAAAGUGAAGUUCGCCAUUGGAAGCGCUCUCCAUUUUUACACUUGACAUCUUGCUUUAGACUCGCUAAAUUAAAUCUUCUAUUCACACAUUCUUACGAUCAUCUAGGAAUUAUGAUAUUUUUUCUAAAUCUCUGUCAUUUUCUUACGAUUUCCUCCCUUUCCCUUCAUAAUCUCUUCUUGCAUUGCCCAUUUCUCUUCAUGUUUUGAUCUUUCUCUUCCCCUUCUUCUUCCCAUUCUUCUUCCCAUCACCAUCCAUGGCAACCAUGAAAUUAGGCAUUAAACCCGAAGCAUUUCAUCGCGAGGGCCAAACUUGGUACCCCAUUUUGUUAUUUUGAUUAUAAAUGAUGUUUCUCUUGUUUGCAUUGAUUGAUUCUGUAAUGCCAAUUCAUACGAUUCUGUUUUUUGUUUUGAUCCAUUUGAUUUGAUCUCAUUAAUCUUUUUGGUUUUCUUCAUUCCUAUUAGGCUUUGCUCAAGUGGAUUACCCAGCGAUGUUACAAUUGAAGUUGGAGAUAUGUCUUUUCAUCUACACAAGGUCUGUUUGUUUUGGAUUUUCUAUCAGUUUUUGCCAGCGAGUGAAUAGAUGGAUGAAUUUCAUUGCCAUGCACUUACUCUGGUUUUUCCAUCUCUGUUUUGUUUACUGCAGUUUCCUUUGCUUUCUAAAAGUGGGUUUCUAGAGAAGCUUAUAGAACAGCUUCCUAACGAGGAUGAAUCUGGCUGCGUUCUGAAACUUCGUGAUAUUCCUGGUGGCGCCAAAGCAUUUGAACUUGUUGCUAAAUUUUGCUAUGAUGUUAAAAUAGAGCUCACUUCUUUGAAUAUAGUUAGCCUUAGAUGUGCAGCUGAAUACCUCCAAAUGACUGAAGAGCAUGGAGAAGGGAAUUUGAUUUCUCAAACAGAGGUUUUCCUCAAUGAGGUCUUUGGUAAUUGGACAGAUACAAUUAAAGCUCUUGAAACUUGUGAAGAAGUUGGAUCAUACGCAGAAGAGGUUCACAUUGUUUCACGAUGUAUUGAUUCAUUGGCUAUCAAAGCUUGUGCUGACCCACAGUUGUUCAAUUGGCCAGUGAAGGGGCAGGAAAAUGUCCGAAGCCCCAAUGGGACUGUUCUAUGGAAUGGGAUUUCUUCAACCACAAAGCCCCAACCAACCGGCGAAGAUUGGUGGUAUGAGGAUGUGUCAUUUCUUAGAUUUCCCUUGUACAAGCUUUUGAUUUUGUCUGUUGAAGCUAAAGGAUUGAAAUCUGAGAGUAUAGCUGCAUCAUUAAUACAUUAUACUAAGAAGAAUAUCCCCUUAAUCAACAAUCAAUUGAGUUUCAAUGAUAUGAAUCAUGUUGGGUCAGGAAUCACAGCUUCUACAAAUUCUGAGGUAGAUCAAAGAUUCCUACUUGAGGAGCUUGUGGGCUUACUACCAAGUGUAAAGGGUGUCACCACAACCAACUUUCUACUUAGGCUUCUUAGAACUGCUAUGAUUUUGCAUGCUAGUCCAUCAUGUAGGGAAAUUUUGGAGAAAAAAAUAGGCAGUCAAUUGGAUCAAGCUUUGCUCGUUGAUCUGCUCAUACCUAACAUGGGAUAUACAGUGGAAACUCUUUAUGAUAUCGAUUGCAUUCAGAGAAUUCUUGACCAUUUUAUGUCGAUAUACCAUGUUCCAAUUGCAUCUUCUCCUUGCAUAGUUGAGGAGGGGAAGAUGGUUAGCGGAACGGAUACACUGACCCCGAUGACAAUGGUGGCCAAUCUGGUGGAUGGAUAUCUUGCAGAGGUAGCUCCCGAUGUGAACCUGAAGUUGCCAAAAUUUCAGUCCCUUGCUGCUGCGAUCCCUGAUUAUGCCAGGCCAUUAGAUGAUGGAAUUUAUCAUGCCAUUGAUGUGUACCUAAAAGUAAGAUCUAUUUCCCCCUACCUUUUACAUCAAGUUCAUGUUCUUCACCUUGCAUAUAACUCAAUUCCUAGAACUGAGAGUAAUCAUCUACUUUAGCCUGUAGAUACUGACAUCUUGUAAUCUGGUUAAAUUUUAAACCUUUGUGGAGUAAUCAUUCAUUAUAUUUGUAAAAGAAGAAUGAAUAAUAACAAUAUAGAUCUUACUAAAUUAGCCAUUCAUCUAAUCUCAGGUCAUCGGGUUAGAUAUACCAUGGUGUUUGGUUGUGAAUCUUUAAUGGCUGAUGGUAGUUUACAACUUGUUCAGGCCCAUCCUUGGCUUUCAGAUUCAGAAAGGGAGCAACUAUGUAGAUUGAUGAAUUGCCAAAAGCUAUCAUUAGAAGCCAGUACACACGCGGCGCAAAACGAGAGGCUACCUCUUCGAGUAAUCGUCCAAGUUCUUUUCUUCGAGCAGCUUCGACUACGAACAUCAAUAUCAGGUUGGUUUUUUGUUUCUGAGAAUCUGGAGAACUCGCAACAUCCGAACGGAAACCUUGAACUUCCAAAGAAUGAUUGUUCAAAGGCAAUGGAGGAGGGUGGUGGUGGAAAGGAUGUAAAAGAGAGAGUUUCAGAGCUUGAAAGAGAGUGUUUAGAAAUGAAAAUGGAGCUUGAGAAGGUGGUUAAGACGAAGAAAAGUUGGAGUCUUAUUCCAAAAAAGCUUGGUUUUGGAAGAAAAUCACAGCCAUGCAUCCCAAAGCCAGAUGAUAUAAUGGAGCAAACAACCUCUGUCAGUGCUCCACAGAAUAAUGAAGAUGGGGAUUUGGGUCAGCGAGUAGUUGCAUAGAUGGAUCCAAUUUAAUGAGUCUUCAGUGUACAAUACUUUUGGUACAACUUUUAUUAUCAUCAAUAUUUUUUUAAGAUAUCUGUUUGAUUGUAAAUUUUUUUGAUUUAAAGUGUUUUAAAAUGUAAUAAUCUGAUUAUAUAAAUCAUAAAAUGAAUGAUAGUUAAGUUAGUGACUAAAUACUAAAUGGAACAUAAACAUUAUGAACUAAUUUAACAAAAAUAUAACAAGUUUGUAUAUACCAAAAUACUAUAAUUAUUUAAAAUUCUAUUUUACUUUUUAAAUAAUUAAUUUUGAAUUUGAAGUUUUUUUUUUUUAUAUAUAUAAAAACAUUAUAAUUUCAAAUCCAAAUUCUUGAUACACCUAAAAACAUAUAAAUAUUAUAUUCAAAAUUUCACCAUUGAGAUGACAAAAUUAAAAAAUAGUUUUCAAAAUACACAUCGUUUAUCACAACGCUGUUAUUUAUUGAAUUCAGUAAAUAGAAAAACUAAAGACCAAACUCAAAUUGCUUAUAAAGAGAAAAAAUAAUGAUACCAAAACAAGGCACAAAAUAUAUAUAUAUAAGUUGCCACAGAAGAUGGUGAAUUUUCAUCAGAGAAUCCUAUACUUACAACUUUUCAAGGAUAUGAGAAGUUUCAACAAUUAAAUGUAGAGGCUAUUUCAUAAAUUGACAUUGAAAUGGAGUAAUUUACAAAAAAAAAAAAAAAAAAAAAAAACAAAGAGGAAAAAAAUUCCUCCACAAAAUAGGAAAUAAUAGCUAUAGAAUUUCGUAGUAGCCUCCUCCAUUUGCAAAAAUUCCUUCACCCAUUAUCUCCAGAAAUAAUAAUCACCUGGAGAUAUCACAAUUUUGAGGGUAACCAAGCUGCUCUAUCUCCCAACUCAGCUGUGAAGCAACUCUUUCAUGGCAAGGCACAUACUCCUACAACACAAACAGUCCCCACACAAAAGUGAACAAAGACACAUAGGAUUGGUUUAAAUUCUCUAAUUGACCAGUAAACUUCAAGAACAAGAUGUAUGUAUAUAUGCUAUAUUUUAUAGUUUUGGUAUAUCAUAAUACCUCUAACUUCUUCAUUAACUCCUUCGCCGUUGGCGCUGAUACGAUAAUUUGGCGUGCACUUGGACUGACAAAUCCUUCCUCGACAGCUUUAUCAAUAAAUGACAGUAGUGAAUUGUAAUAUCCAUCAACAUUCAACAGUCCCACCUACAGAUUUCAGUGUUCAUUUUGAUCAUAUUCAGUAACUAUCAAAGCUAACCGAAUCACAGCACAUACAAAGUAAGGCGAAUUUUUUUUUUUGAAUAACAAAAAGAAGGAACACAGACUGGCUUGUCAUGAAUUCCCAGUUGAGCCCAGGUUAUGACUUCAAGUAGUUCUUCUAGAGUCCCAUAGCCACCUGCAAGCAUUCAUAUGGUUGGAAGAAGAAUUUCAGCUGAUUAAUAUCCAUCUCCUUUCUAUGCUUCUAUAGCUACCUAUGUUGCAGGUACAAAAUGAUUCAGAUGAUCCAUUUCCUGUAAUUAUAUUUAAUGGACUACUACCCUUCAGCUGUGAUGACAUGUGACUUCUUAAAUUCUGAGAUGUGGUUCCAUGUAAUAUUUAACUUAAACAUCAACAUAAUUGAUUAGAAUAUGAUUCAAAGCCUCAGAGAUUUAGAUUUGCAGUUGAAGUAGAGAAGGGGGAAUAUUUUGAUAACACAUCAGUGAACGUUUAGAUGACAGGACAUCAAAAUAUUUUGAAAUUCUAAAAAGAAGCAAUUAAGGACAGAGAGUUUUAAAAAAGGGUACGUAAUAAUUCCCUAUAGUUAGUAAGGACCAUCGAGCAAAGUGAGUCAAAGUAGCCUUUUUUUAAAAACCGUACAUGGAAGAUACAGAACUAGUGAAGCUAUGGAUCGGAUUUUAGAAGAAAAACAUAGCUGCCCACAGCUCAAACUAUUUAAGAAACUAUCUUUUUCAGUGUCUGAUAUUGAUAGGUCAAUGAUGGUUUCUUAAAAACAUGGCUGCCACAGGUGCUAUAAAUGCACAAUGCCAUCAAUACAGAUAGUGACAUAAUUUGUUUGGAAGAAAUGGAAAAAAAAAAGUUAAAGGUCUGAGAUAUUUGGAAUUGAAUUUUGCUUGAUCAGUGAAACUAAGAAGGGUAUAGAAAGACAGGCACCGAAAGCAGAAGCACAAGGGUCAAAUUAUGGAAAAAAGAUAAUAAGAUGACGAUUGCGUGUUUUGGUUUAGAGGAGGGAACAAAAGGAGGAUAAAGAGGAAGAAGGCUUUUAAGAGCUUUUGACUGACUGUCAGACAACAUAGCCUAAUUGUUUUGUUUGUUUCUGAGAUGCUAUGAUAGUAACUUAACAGUCAAGUAAAAAGAAAGGAAAAGAGAGAGAGAGAGAGAGAGAAGGGUGGGGGUGGGGGAAGAGAGGGGAAGUUUUGAAAGAUAAGUUAAUGAUGGGUUUUUGGUCAAUGUUGAAUGCCAAAAUGAGUAAAAGCAAAAGAAGGUGAUGAGCACUUUUGGUUUGAUUGAGAGAGUAAACUUAAGAAGUUAAUAGUGCAAGUGGAAAAUGUUAAAGUGCAGGCUUUAUAUACUCACCUGGCAAGGCAAUAAAAGCAUCUGAAUGCUUUGCCAUCUCUGCCUUCCUUUGAUGCAUAUCUGCCACUGCCUUCACCUCCCCUACAGUUUCACCAGUCAACUGCAAAAGGAAACCGUGUAAUAGAAUAGGUUAGAGAGAAAAGGAACGAGAGAGAGGAGUUUAGAAGAGAGAAAAAAUGAUGGGUUUCGUAGGAAAAAGGAGAUCAAAUCUAAAUAGUUUUGAUCCAGAGAUAAAAUCUCCAAUUUCUAUAGUUAAUUUGACUGUUAUCAUGACAUGGGCUGAAUGCAAAAUGAAGCUCUGUAAAGUAAGAAAAAAAAUUAAAAUCUUUAUGAAUCAGUGUAAGGUUUGAGAUGGUUUAGAAAGGAUCAGAGAGCUACAAGUUCUAACUAUAGUGAUGGCAGUAUCAUGGAAAAUGCCCCCAAGCAUAAGAAAAACACAGAUCUUGAGCCACACAGAAGAACGUACUGGUAAAAGAAGUAAUAAAUGAGAGAGAGAGAGAGAGAGAGAGAGAAGUAAAGAUGGGAAAAAAAAGAAGAUAACAAAAAAGCUAAUAAAAAACUAAAAAGCAGAAGUCAGUGGGAAAAGUAUCAUAAAGAAGAAAGGGUAGGAAUAAAUAAAUGCAAAAUCGGAUUAAUGAACAAGAAAGAAGAAGAGUCCUUCAUUUUAAUAUAACUAAAUAAGUAGAGAAAAAAGGUUGAAAACUUUACGAGACUGAUAGGUUAACGGACAUACCUCUCGAGGCAUGAGUGUCUUGGGUAUAACUCUGGACCAGAACAGUACCACGACAAAAGUCAGUACAGUAGAAAACUUGUAAUGGUGAAGAAACCCAAAAAUAGAAUCAUAAAAACAACCUUAAAGGGACCAAUGGAAGUAAUUAAAAAAAAAUGUGGGCAUACCCAAUGACAUGCCGACCGCCAUCAUGAACAGCUUGUGAAACUAAACCCAUCAGGCCAAUGCUGCCCCCACCGUAGACCAGAUCAAUGUUCCUUGAAACCUUAAAAACAACAUCAAAAACCAAACUCAUCAUCUCAAAUGACUCGAGAGUUUCAUUUAUGAAAUGGGAUUCUUUCCUUUUACUUUGAAUGUAUGUAUGAGAAGCCUAUGUGGAUAAAAUUUCAAAAGAAACAAACUGUCACCCAACUGAGAUAUUCAUGCAUUUUCUUUGCAAUUUAAGUUUCUGAUGGGAAAUGGGAGAGGAAAUAUCAAAGUUGAAGAAGAUAAGUAAAGGGUCAUGAUCAAGCAUAAUCACAAACACGUUGUGGACACAAUCACAACACAUCCCAAUUGAACGUCAAUGGAAAACAAAGAAAACAAAGGACUUAUUAAUUCCAAACAAACAAUAUACACAUAAAGUUCACCAAAACAUUUAAAAAGAAAUGCAGAACAAUCUCUAGCAACAUGAAAAACAAAACACCCCCAAUAAUCAUUUGAACAGAGAAAAAGGAAAUGGAUCGAAAAUAGUGUAAAAAAAGAACAGAAGAAGUUUAUCUUUCUUUUUUUUUACCAAUUCCUUGCCAAGUUCAAUGGCGGAAUCCUGGUAGCUUCUCUUCUUGCCUUGACUACUACCACAGAACACACAAAUCCUCCUGAACUUAGAUAGCGGCUUCAUUUCAUGAUUCAUAAUCAAACCCUCCAUUUGUUUUCUUGAUAUGAAUUGAGUUAAAGAAAGUUUUAGGAGUGGAAACAGAAACAGAGCAUGUAAUAGGUUGAUUUUGGAAGUGGGUAUUUGUGUGAAUGCUCCCUGAACAGAACAGAAAUGAAGUGAGAGUGGAAGCAAAGGAGGAAGAAAAAGGGUAAAAAGAAAAAGAAAAAGAAGAACAGAGAGAAGAAAAGUGAGGAACUCUGUCUUUCUCUUUUCACUUUUAUGUAAGGUCGGAAGUUUUGUGUGUGGGAGCAGCCCUUUCCUCUGUUCUCUCCCUUCCCUUCUCCCUUUUUUUUUUCUUAAUAUUUUUUUAAAAAAAAAUAUUUCAUAAAAAGAAAAAGAAAAAAAAUACUCCUCGCACGUGCGUACCUCACGCACGCUUUUGCGUCAUCUUCACACAAACAAACUCUCAUGCCUUCAAACCUUCUCUUGUUCUUCUUCCCACGCUUCUUAAUUUUCAUUUAUGACUAAUUUAAUUGCAAUAAUACCUUCUCCUCUCCCCCGUCAUUUUCAAAUUAUUUACAAAAUCACUCAAAAUUUCAUACCCAUUAUUCAUACACAUUAAUAAACUUCAAAAACUUUACUACAUUUUUUAAAUAUUUUCAUCAAAUAUUGUAAUUUGCAAGAUUUAAUUCAAAUAUAUUUAAAUUGUCUUGAAAUUAAAAAAAACCCAUUAUUGAAUUUAAGGUGAAUAGAGUAAAUGUAUUGACUUAAAAAGAUACAUUUACUCAACAAGAUUACAAGAGGAUUAUUUAAACUCUUUAAUUUAAGAGAUAUAACUUUUUUCUUAAGAUAUGAUUUUAGUUUAGCGAAAUUAAGUAUUAGGAUAUAAAAGUUAGUAUAUUAGAGAGUGUUUUUAUGUUAAAUGUUGUAAUUUUUUCAAUUUAAUUUGUUAGUCAUUUGUGAUAUUCAUAUAACAACCAUUAAUACAAAUCUUGAUAUUAAGAAAUUUUGUAUCUUCCUUUUUUAAAAAAUAAAUUUAAUUUAAAAAUAUGUUUUCAUGAUAUCUUAUUAUUUUGUUAAAAAAAAAAGAUAUGUUUGAUUAAUUAUAUAUUAAUCAUGAUAUUUCUCUACUAAUUCCCCAAUGCAAGUAUAUAAUAAAUUUUAAACAUAAUGUUUUUCGAAAUAUUAAUUAUCACUUGUUGUUUCUAAUAUCUAUUAAUAACGAACUACAUCAUUCUCUCUAUAUUUUCAUUUCUUUAAUAAACAACAAUUGAUUAAAUUGAGUUACCAUACGUCCUCCAAUCAUUUAUGCAUCUUUCAAGCAAUUAAUACAAGAAAUUGCAACUAUUGUACUACUCCCACUAUUACUGUGUAUAUACAUAAAUUAUUGUUUAUACUAAUAUAUCAAUUCAAUAAUUUUAAGUCGACAGUAAUUUGAUAGUUUUUAUUUAUUAUACGCUAUAAAUCAUGAUUUGAAAUAAUUAGAACUACACAAUUACAUAUGUAUUGGACGUAUUUCUUGACGAAUACAGAUUGGGUACGGGUGUUUUAAAUUCACAAGUACAGUUUAGAUUAUUAGCCAAAGAAAUUAAGGCUAUGUACUGAUAUCUAUUUAUUAUAUGCUAAAAAAUCUUCAUUUCCAUGUAUUUUUGCAUAAAAGAAGUUGGACAAGCAUAGGAAUGAGAAUAAUCACGUAACUGUUGAGACUUGACUUUAAAAUAACGAGUCAAAACAGGCUGAAUUUCUUACUUUUUAAAACAUCAACAACAAAUAUAAUUCAAUCAUAUCCCUCAACUUUGGUCCUAUAAUUUUAAUCCUCAAUUUUUAGAUUUUUACCUAUCUUUUUAAACCUUAAAUUAAUAUAUAUAUCAAUUUAAACUCUCCACUUUUAUAACUUUAUUUAAAUAAAUAAUAACAAAAUGUUUAAAUUAAUACAUUUGUAAAACUCUAUAUUUUAUUUCAUUUUGGACCUCUAAACGUAAAUGUUGGUUUUAGUUAAAUUUUAAAAAAUUACUUUCAUUUUAGAUUUUUUGUUAAUUAAACAUUUAACGAAAUGAUGUUAUGACUUUUAUAUUUGGAUGACUAGACACUCUAUAUGCAUUAUAUUCAUUAAAUUAAUUAAUCAAGAAAAUAUUUAUCUACAAUUUCUUAGAGUUUAUUUUCUACCUUAGUUGUUCUUAAUUAAUCUCAUUUUCAUCUUAACACCAAUAUACGAGCUUUAUGAUUUUUUAUUCUACUCGAUGUUCUUAUAAUUUGCUUCGUGAAAAAGUUGAGUCUUAGUGAAAAAAAGACGGAACAAAAAUAGUUUUUUAGUUUAUUUGAUUGGUGUGCGCAUUCAUUGAUUUUUGUGUUGAUAUAUAAAAUAUUUGUAGAUUAAAUUAGGUAGUUAUUUAUCAUUUCAAUUUAAUUAAUAUUAAGAAUUAGAGUUUAGUCAUCUAAAUAUUAAAAAAAAGUUACUUCAUCUUUUCGGUAAAUGAUUAAUAAAAUUUUUCUGACGUUUAAAAUUUAAAGACGAAGAUAGAAAAACUGCAAUUUAAAAAGAAAAAGAGAGAGAGAGAGAAGAAGAAAAUAGGGAGUUCGAGUAAAACAUUAGGAUAUGGGUUUACUCAUUGAUGCUUGGUGGUUGGGCUUUGCUUUGACUAAUUGUUUAUGACUUUAUUAAUUAAUUACUAUCCUUUAUAAUCACUUGCCACAAAAGUAUGGACUAAUUAUAAUCAUUAAAUAUUUUGUAAUUAUGCACAACAUUCAUUUUCUAAAAAAUAAAUUGAAAAUAAAGCUUGCUUAUCAACAACCAUUCUUAACUUUGUAACUUACUUUGAUAUGUUCACAAUUAUUUUAUUUUUGUUUUUUAAUCCUUUUUCUUUUCAGUUUUCCAUUUUUGAAAUAUAAAGUUUUCAACUAAUGAUUUACGUUCUCAUUAUUCUUCUUUUUAAAAAAUAUUGGUUUCUUUUUUGUUUCUUUGAACUCUUUUAAAAGAGUAAAGAUUAUUGGUACCGAAACUGUUUUUUUUAUAAUCCUUAUCUACAUAUAAUGUAUUUUAACAUAUGUUUAUUUUAAUAUAUUCAAUAUAAAUCUUUUAUUUUGAAAGUUAUUUUUAUUCGUUUUUUUUUCUAACUUGUAAAACAAAACAUAAAGGUAAUUAAAUUGGUAUUUAUAGUAACUUCUUACCGUAAUUUUUAUCUUUAUCAAUUAAAAAAAAAGUUGAAAGUAGAUCUAAAUUAUAAAAAAUAAAACUACUUUUCUUUUUUAGUUUUAAAAUUUUGAUUUGGAGUUGUCGAAAAUAAAAUAACAAAACAAGAGAUUUAAUUAAACUUAAUUUAUUUUAGAAAAAAAAUAAUAGUAAUUAAUCCAACAAGACUUUUAGUUGUUUGUUUGUUGAAGUGCAUGUAGUUUUAAUUUUAAUAAAUGUAAUAGAAACAAUAAAGUAUCAUCAUAAAUUAUAGGCAUUGCAUAUAUAUGGAAUUUUAGUAUUAUUAAAAAUAAGGUUAUUUUUAAAUACAUAUAUAACAUAAAUAUUUAGAAAAUAUCCAAAUUUAUCAUUGUCUAAAUAUUUUAUUGUCAAAGUGAGGUCUUAAAGUGGUUUAUUAUUUGGUCCCUUUUGUCAUCAUAAUUGCAACAAAAUCCCUAUGUCCAGUGGGAGGAACCCUUAACUUUAAGAUUCUUAGAAACUAUAUAGUUUUCAUUAUUGGGGUUUUUUUCUUUUUUCUUUCUUCUCCAAUUCCAUGCAUGCCGUGUUGGAACUUGGAAACUAUAGAUCUCACCUUUGGAGGCAAAAGCCAAACAAGAUGAGGAGAAAAAGAAGAUCUUUUCAGCAAAAGACAUGAAAUUCUUAGAAAAAAUUAUAAUCAAAAUGUCAUCUAAUUAUUUUUUCAAUCAAAAUCUAAUCAUAAUUAUGUAUGAUAAAUAAACCAUCUCAUCCUCUUAAUCCUAAUGUAUUAUGACUAUGUAUGUAAGAUAUUUAAUCGAGAUCUCUAAUACUUAAACAGUCUUGUUCUUUAAUUUUUCUCCACUUUACUGUUUUUCAUUUGAGAUAGGCAUUGACAUCUACAACUUCUUCUUCUUUUUCGAAAACAUCACUCGAUCAGUAGGUUGAAAAUAAACAUAUAUAUAUCAUAAUUAUUUAAAAUCAAAAUUUUAGUUAAUUUAUAAUCCAUAUAUAUAUUAUCCCACAACUAAAAAAGAACGUUAAUUUUUUUAUAAUAAAAAAAAUGUAAGAGUUGGGGAACAAAAAGGUAGAUGAGUAAUUAAUAUUCUUUGGAUAUUACUAAAAUAAUGUGUGUUAUUUCUGUGGGAAGAUUAAUUUCCUCAAUGUGUUAUAAUUAAUUUCCAUGAAAGAAAGAAACACCCAGAGAGUGUCAGAACUAUUUUCUGAUAUCUCAUCUUAUUUAUAAACAUCACUGAAUUCCUGCUUUGUAUUAUAUUCAAAAUAAUACAUGUUUGCCUUUAUGGUGAGUUGUUUCAGAAUUUAGUUUCUGUCUCUAGGAAACUUAAUAAUUCAAACAAAUAAUCAUUAAAUCAAAAAAUAUAUAUAUAUACAUACAUUUUGUGUAUUUUAGUCUAGUUUCUAUACUUGGUACAUAAAUUAAUUCAAAACCUAAACUAACUAUUGGUUUUUAGAAAAAUGCAAUUUGUUCAAAGAGCUUACCUCAACCACAUGACACACAUGUAUUAUCUCCAAUAAGAACAUGAAUACAUGGGUUUUAGACGGCAAACCUCACACUUUGAUAAACAAACCCUAGCUAACUUUGACAAAACAAGAAGGUAUACAUAGUGUGAUUUUUCAGUUAAUAUGAUUUGCAUUUUCAUUAGUGCUUAAUUAAUAGGACUUCAGAUAUAUAAGAUAGUAAUAUUGCAUCAACUAAGGUAGGGACACCGUGACUUUUAUUAUUUGGUUUAAUAAAGAAUUAAUAGGCUUGAUCAAUAAGUGAGAAGAUGGUGACCACUUAGAAUUAAUUAAUUUAGAAAGAAAUAAAUAAUGUUAUAUGUAUAUGUAUAUAGAUUAAAUUAAAACGGCUGACAGUUUGAAGAAGACCUAAUUUUGGAAGCAUAUUUUAAGGAUUUUCAGGACCAUUCUACUUUUGGACAUAGUUCAUAUUUCCAAAUUUAUUUAAUGGACUUUAUAACAUUUAUUUGAUUCCUUCAGGGUCAAUUACCCAACGUACAUCUACUGCAUGUCAGCAUCUUCAUUGUACCAAAAAAUUCAAGCUACUUUCAUAGAGUAUUUUCAAUCAUUCUUAGGGUUUCCUUCCUUCCUUCCCUUUUUUCAUUUUUUCAUUUCUUUAAACCGAUGCUUCCUCGGUGUUUUCUUUUUCUUUUGUCAAUCAUCUAAAAAUAAAAUGUUGAAAAUUAUAAGUCAAUAGAAAAUUAAGUUAUAUUUUGAGCUAUAUUUUUGUGUGUUUUUUGGAUAUAUACGUGUGUGUUUGGGUAUCAAAUUUGAAUCUUAGUUUAACCACCCUCAAUUAGGUUAAAUCUCAAAUAUAAUGUUAUUUUUAUUAAUUUAUGAACAUCUGUGGUUUUAUGCUAUAAAUUCUAUAUAUUUAUAAUAUCAUAUAGCUUAUAGUAUACUAAUUGCACAUGUUCAUUUAUUAUUAUAAUAUUUAUAACAUGAAAAUUUACAAUUAAUUUUUAAUAGUAAUGUAUCAUGAAACUUAAUUAAUUAUAAUUAUAGGCAUUAACACUCAAAACUUAGAAGAAAAAUGUAAAUCUUCAAACUUAUAAACUAAACUAUGAAACAAAAUUCAAGCUUCAAAAGGUAAAAAUUAUAACAUUUGAAACUAAGGGACAAAAUGAAAUUAAAGUUUAUAUAUGUGAAUUUUUCCUAUAAAUCACCAACAAAGUCCAAAAAGAAAUGUUUGGCUCGUCUUUAUAAUUAGGCGGAGAUCUAGGGUGUGUUUAGUUGAGAUUCAAGUGUUUAAUUUUGUCAAAAAAAUUAUUUUUAAAAAAAUGGUGUUUGACAAAUUAAUUUAUAAAAUAAAGUAUUUUGGAGAAAUCUUUAAAAACAAAAUUCACGUAUACACACUUAUAAAAACGAUACUAAUACAAAAAUGAGGUGUAAUAAAUUUUAUUAUCUUAAUAGUUUGCCAAUUUUUCUCUAUUUGAAUAAUUACUUUCAACCCUAAACCCUAACAAAAAUUGUGAUCACUACAUUAUCAACACCUUGUUACGAACACAAUUAGAAGUUAAAAAGGCUCCUUUUGAUCCAUUUUUAUUUGAUUUUACUUAUAAACACUACAUAAGUUACCAUAUUUUACGAUCUAUUUUUCUAAAAUAAUAUUUUCAAAUACCAAAUUAAGUUUUCAAAAAUUAAGAAAGAGUAGUUUUCAAAAUUACCAAAAAGAUUUUUAUAUAAAAUAUAACAAAACUUAAUUUUUUUGCUUUGUAUUUAUUAUUAAUUACUUAUUGCAAAAAUUUCAGUUGAUCAAAACACGGCCGUCGAUCAGAGUCAAUGGACAGUUUCUGCUCU